CCAUGAUGAGGGAGAGGAGGAGGAGGGUGAGGUUAUGGACGGCUGUGAUGGGCUUGAGGACGUGGGGUCCAAUGAGAGGUGAUGAUGAUGGUGAUGUUGACGUUAAUGUGUGGUAGAGGAUGGAUGUGAGGGAGAGGUAAGUGAGGAUGGAGAGAAUGAGGAAGUUUAGGGAGGAAGCUGGGGUUUGGUUUUCAGUCCAUGUGAAGUUGAGGAUUUGUGGGUGGUUUACAAGCCAAUGUUGGAGAGUUGAGGUGAUUGAAUUUGAAGCCAUGGCUGGUGUGUUUUUUUUUUUUUUUUUUGGUGGGGGGGGGGGGGGGGGGGGGAGAUUUGGAAGAGAUGAUGUUGAGAGGAGCGGGGGAGUUUAGAAAGUUAGGGAUAAUAUGAGGGUAUUUUGGGCAUAUACUGAUGUCUUAGCUUAAAUUUUGAAAAAGAAAAUAAUAAUAAACUCUUUUUUCACAUGAAUUUAAUACUCCGAGUGUGUUUCCAAGAAUUGUUCUUCUUUUUCUAUUUUUGGAUUUUGAAUCAUAAUUUUUCAAUUUAUUAAUGGCUCUUCAAUUACAAAAUAUGGAAAGAGGGGAUGGGGUGUAGUGCCUAGGCAUCUGUGACAACGGCACUUCUGGACGUGGGUUUCAUUAUUAUUAUUAUUAUUAUUAUUAUUUGGCUAUUUCUGCUCAAUCAAACUUGUGGAUUGCAUGCACUCAACGUGGAAUGGACGCAAUGGAUUUGCUGGGAUCACCCAAGCCGAAGAAGCAUGAACCUGGGACCAAUUUGUUGACAAAAAUUUAGGCAUAAAAUAUACAAAUCAAAGUCGAGUAAGAUUUAAGUAUAAUUGGGGAAUGUCUUCUACGGUGAAGUACAUCGAGUAAGGACUUCUACAAUCGCGCUAGAAAGUACAACUAAAAUCCGGUAAGUGUUUCGUAGAGCAUAAUUUUUAGGGUCCAACGUUAAGAGUAUUUUGUAAACAUUUAUAAUUAUUACUUAAAUUGAUCUAAUCUCAUACUCCAUUAUAGAAAAAAAAACUAAAAUAUCUCUAAUAAUUUUAUCAAAAUUAUUAUUUAACAAUCAUAUUUACUCUAUAAUAUCAACGUUUAUAUUAUAAUUAGAGCUAAUACUAAACAAGGACUCGAAUACGAUCAAGUAAUUAAAAGUUUUAGCUUUUUGGUAUUGCAAGAUGAUUCAAACUUAAACUAGCGAUCAAAAGUCUAUCAAAGAAAUCACAAAGACGCUUUUUUUGACAAAUCCGCAUUAGAAUUUGCAAAAUUUAACAAAGAGAGUGAAUAAGAUUCCAAAGUAAAUCAACUUUAUUAAGAAUUUUACUGGAGAAAAAUUGGAAUAUACGAAGUUGUAUCACAUAUGAUAUUUAGACAUCAAGAAAAGAAUCCAUCUAUCAGUGAACUAUACUUGCCAGGAAACACAGUGAAUACCACCACCUCCCUACUAGUUCUUCCCCUUCAACAGAGUCGACAUUCCCUUGUUUGAUGCCAAGGAGCCCAAGCCCGGAGACAAUGGCAUUCUUUGAUAUCAACCGCUUUGGGGACUUUUGAGUUGAGCUAUUGACAUCCUGAGACAGCCUGUGCCUUCUUCAAAAGGUCAUCUGACUGAAGUAGCGGAUCCGCUUCCACUCCUAGCCAAGCAAGCUUUGAUCUUUCUCCUAAUUGGACAUUAAAAACCCUGCAUGGAAUCCAUUUGAGAAGUUGAACAAUAGACAAAGUCCAACAUAUGUAGGUAGUAAAGAAGAAUUUGGACGGCAAUUACUGAUUGUUUACGCACAGGGCUGAACAAAUGGGUAUAUUAAGGCACUUAAAAGUUAGAACAAUAUUCACCACUUGUAUUUCCUUAGAGAACUAUCUCAGAGUUCAGUUAAUUUAAAACCUUCGAGAUAUAAUUAUCAUCAUCAAUCUUUUGCAGCCACAUGCGGUACUUGGAAAACUGUUUAUGGCCCCUAAAGAACUGGAAAAUCAGAGAACAUUAAGAACAAGAGACUACUAAUUUUGAUCGCGACCAAGCGUACACACUAUGAAAAUCUAAAAUUGAAUUACUCCGAAUGAAUGUGCCUCUUAACAGGAAUUGCACAAGCUAAUCCUUGCAGCCUGCGUCAUGGAGCUUCUCGCAAUGAGUAAGUGAGCCUUGAACAGUUAGCUCAAACUAAAAUGAAAUUGCUGUGGACAUGUGAAUUAAAAAUAGAUGUAAAAGCAGUUUUCUCAAAGCAAGGACAAGAUAAGAGAUUAACUCUGCUUCUUAGUUACAUUAAAAAUAACAAACAAUGAAAAAACAGAGCUAGAGAAGAACUUACCUGUGCGUUGAGACCACGUGGGGAAUGUGAGAUAUCUUCUUAGAUUUGGUUUGAGAAACUCCAUCUUCUUCUGAAAGUUCUGACAGUUCCCUAAACCCAGGCCAAUACAAUUGCAACAGAAACUGCAUGCUUUAACCAGCAUCUGAUCAUCUCCUGUUAUUUCAAGACAAUAAAAACUUAAUUGCAACACUGCAUGCUUCAACCAUUAACCUUCUCAAUUUCAACACUUCUUUUGUCCCCCGCCCAAUGCCCUUAUUAGAGUGAGUGAGAAAUUAAGUACAUAUCAGUGAUUUGGGUUGUUAGUGAAUGUUUUUCUUUAAUAUUGUUAGUGAAUGUUAGUGAAAGGUGAUGAUGGUGGUGAUGUUGAUGUUGAUGUGUGGUAGAGGAUGAAUGUGAGGGAGAGGUAAGUGAGGAUGGAGAGAAUGAGGAAGUGAGGGGAGGAAGCUAGUGUUUGGUUCUGAGUCCAUGUGAAGUUGAGGAUUUGGGGGUGGUUUACAAGCCACUAUUGGAGUGUUGCGGUAAUUGAAUAUGAAGCCAUGGCUGGUUUUUUGGGGGAGAAAGAUUUGGAAGAGAUGAUGUUCAGAGGAACGGGGGAGUUAAAGUUUUGGGAUAAUGCGGAGGGUAUUUUGGACAUAUUGUUAUCUUAGCUUAAAUUUUAAGAAAAAGAUAAUCAAUAAUAGGCUUUUUUUUCAUGUCAAUUUAAAACUCCGAGUGUGAUUCCAAAAAUUGUUUUCGUUUUUCUAUUUUGGAUUUUAAAUCGUAAAUUUAGUAAAGGAAGUUAAAUCAAGUGAUCACUUAUUAUUAUUAUUAUUUUAAUGUAAAGCAAUUUUUUUUUUUUUUGUGAUUUAAGCAAAUAUUGAGUUGCGUACUUUGACAAUAUUAAUAUUUGAUUCGAAAUUUCAUCUAUUGAAACUACAAAAAUUAAUAUUUUCUAAUAAAUCAAAACUAAAAUUAAAAGAUGACUCAUUAUCUGCCGACUGUCAUUAAACGAAGCCAUCACUCACGCAAAAAAAAAAAAUGAUAUAUUUAUUUUAACGUAAUUUCAUACCAACAAAUCAUUCUUUUCUUUCGAACAAUGACCUCUUUAAUUAUCCAGGGCUUUGUGAUAACAGCAUCUUUGGACGUGAGUGUCAUUAGACUUUUGGGUCAAUCAGACUUGUGGAUUACAUGCACUCAACGUCGAUAAUAUAGAAAUGGGAGAAAAUUAUGUCAGUAAAAUCAAGUCAGUCAAAUAAAAAUUGUGUAUUUUUGAAAAAGUUGAAAAAACCAGGUUGACAGUGCAUAAUUUUCUAACUCAGUAGAAUUUCCUAAAGUUGGAGUAAAUAAGACUCCAAAGGAACAUGGCAAUUAUUAUUAUCUAAGAAAUAAUUCAUAGCUAAAACAAAAUUAAAUUUCCUAACUCACUAGAAUUUAACUGGAGAAGAAUUGGAAUAUACAACGUUGUAUCACAUAUAGUAUUUAGACAUCAAGAAAAGAAUCCCUGUAUCAGUGAACCAUACUUGCCAGAAAACACCAGGCGAAUACCACCACCUCCUACUAGUUCUUAGGUGUCUCAGAGUUUGAGGACGACUUCCAUGCUAUGUCUCUUCGACAGGCAGCAAAAUUGGGCAAUUGACUGCAUCAACUCCAAGAAAUUUAUGCAGUCACCUUCCUCCGGACUAUCUUGUUUGACGCCAAGGAGCCCAAGCCCAGAAACAAUGGCACUCUUUGGCAUCAACCACCUGGGGACUUUUGAGCUGAACCAUGACAUCCUGAGAUGGGCUGUUGUGUAAGCCUUCUUCAAAAGGUCAUCCGUUGAUCUUUCUCCUAAUUAGACCAUCAAAACCCUGCAUGGAAUCCAUUGGAGAAGUUGGACAAUAGACAAACUCCAACACACACAGACAGUAAAGAAGAAUUUAGACCGCAAUCACUGUGGCUGAACAAAUGGGCCUAUUAAAAGUGGGAACCAUAUUCACCACCCGCAUUUCCUUAGAGAACUAUAUCAGAAUUCUGUAAAUUUGAAACUAUUCUUACAUAUUUAACUGUAAAACAAGAGAAAUUGUACUUCCGUAGCAAAGUCUCACUAUUGGUAAGUAUCUGGACUUGGAAAGGAUGCUAGUUGAUUAAGUAAAGGAAAAUUGAAAUCAGACUUUGAGGUGAUAGAUCUAUAUCCACUUUUAUAGGAACCGCAUUAACAUCAUAUGAGACAAUUAAACAAAUAACCCAGUCAAAGUUCAACAAACAAAACAUUAAAACAAGAGUAAUUUGGUCUAUCAAUGUAUAUUUAGAGAUGUCGAUCAAUAGACAAAUACGUAAACGAGAGACGGAGAGACCUCAAAGCCGUGCUUAAGAACAGUGCUACUCCAAUAACAUCAAAAUGGUUGGUGACCGCUCUAUCAAAUCCACACAAUAGCUGAUAUCUCAUGUUUUCAUAUAGUCCAAUGAAAGCACCAUAACCAGGCGCUUUAGUACUUACAGAUGGGAUUGUCACAGGUUGUUAACAUAUAUGUUUCCAUAAUAUUGAUUUUGAUGAUAACAAACAAGAUUAAGAAUGAUUAAUCUUUUAAGCUCAAAUUAUUGAAAAAUAUAUUUUAAAUAAAUCAUUAUUUUUACAUUAUAAAUGUUUUAUAUUUAAUGGAAAAAUGAUUUUAUGAAAUUGAUUAUUUUUAUUCUUUUUAAAUAAAUCAUUAUUUUCACAUUAUAAAUGUUUCAUAUUAAUGGAAAAAUGAUUUUAUAAAAUUGGUUGUUUUUCAAAGUUUAUGGUUUAAUUAAAAGAAUUUUAAAAACUUUGAAAUAAAGAAGUAUUGCUUGAAAUUUUGGUAAAAGACUUAUUUGAAAAGUGUCAUUGUAUUGUGGGCUAUAUCAUAAUUUCAUAAAGUUUUGGAAAUAGUAAGUAUUAUUUAGAAAUUCUGAAAUUAGAUUUAUUUGCAAAGUUUUAUAACGUUUUGGGCCAUAGUACAGUUAUAUAAAAUUUGAGGGUCAAACUGUUAUUUUACAAAAUAGUUCACUGUAGCAGUCACUGUAGAAAACGGCGAUCCGACAUUUGGUUAACGGCUCGCCGACUUCGAACAUAAUUGAAGAUUAGUCUCUGGACACUAACGGUGAUCCGACAUCAGUUAACGGCGAUCCGACAAUUUGAAAAAUCAGCCCAACGGUCAUAUUGACCAGUCAAACAGCGAUCCGACAUCUAGCUAACGGCGAUCCGACAGUGUGCAGAAAGUCAAUAACGGCUAGUUUUCAGCUCCAACUAGAAAUAAGCUCAAUCCAAUUCAAACAAGAAGAAUUCCAACGAUCAUCAUUGAGCAAAAUAUUGAGAAUACAACUUUCAUUGAGCUUUAAAUCUUUGUAUUCAUCUCAUUCAUUCACACAUUGAGCUUUCACUUGUGAUCAAACACAUUGUGUGAGAGAGAUUCAUUUGUAAUCCUUUUUGUAAAAUCAAGUUAAAAGAUUGUAAGUGUUGGGAUACACUUGGGAUAAGAGAUUGGGGAUAAUCUCUUGUUGUAAAGGUCCAUUGACACCUUGGAAGUCAAUUGUAAGCGUUUGAAGCCUUGGGAGGCUAGCUUAGUGAAAUCCUCAAGCCCGGUGUGCUUGGAGGCGUGGACGUAGGCGGGGAUUGCCGAACCACGUAAAAAUCCUUGAGUUUGCUUUCUCUUCCCUUACUCAUUUAUUAUUGUGCUUUUAUUGAAUUUAUUGUUUUCGAAUUUGUUAAGGCAUUAGAUUGGAUUUGUGUGUGGUUUGCCUAGGAUAAUUUUUAAAAUCCCAAUUCACCCCCCCUCUUGGGUUGCCUAGUUAGUAUUUCACAGGUAACCUGUCAGACAUCAAAUAUGGCCCAAAUUUACAAAUGGGAUUGUCGCGUUAGUGCUUAGACAGUAAACAUUUGCUCUAGUAGCCUGAUUAAACAAGAAAUCGAGACAAGUGUUCAAAAUUUUAAUCUUUAUAUAUAGCCAAAAUGAUAAUGUAGUUGAUAAUACUGACCUGAGUUAAUAAAUACGGGGCUGGUAACAAUCACAGCAUCUCAUCAUGUGGGGAAAGCCUUCACAACAGAAGACGCUGCUUGCUUUGAAGCAAUAAUAACUUUCCAAUUCCAUAAGGUAGCUUAAUGACCUUUUAGGAUAUCAGCACCAGCCUAACAAUUAUUCAUGGAAAUUCGAUUUGCAUUUAUCACCUUUAAUUUGCUCAUCUUUGCCUAGAGUAUUGUUUUUGCGUAAACUUAACAAGCUUGUAAGCCACCUACAAAUGGUUUUAAAUAUGUGCGAGAGUGUGAAUUCGAACGAAUUAAUCAAAUAUGAUGACAGAAGAAACAAAAGCAAAACAACCACAAGACGUAGAAAUAUAUUUUUGUUAUAUUUAGAGCAUCUUCUACGGUCUUCUUUUCCUUUAGCUCUGUUUCUGUGUGUGUUCAAACGCAAUGCCUCAAGGCUCAAGAUGUUAGGAAAUUAGUGGGUGAAGCAGGACCGCAGCUAAAGUAAAAUUGGAAGAAAAAUAAAGAACAAGCACAAUAGAGGACACUAGAAAUUACUUGGUUCGGCGUUUAGCCUACGUCCACGGGUGAAAACAAAAGGAAAAUAUUAUACUAGUGAAAAAGAGUUACAAGUACUGUAGUAUUUUAGCUCACUACCUAAAACCCCAAUACACCCAAACUCUCAAAUUACUAGACUCUUAAAAUCACUCUCUAAAUAAAGAAAAGAACUGAAGAACUCGAUGAUUUACAAAUGAAGGGAGCCAGCAUUUUUAUAGCCAAAAUUGGUUACUGUUUAUUUAAUAUUUUAUUAUUAUUAUUAUUAUAUUAAUUUUUCUUUUCUUUUCCUUCUUCGGCCUGACAUCUCUUUUUCUUCCCUCUUUCUUCUUUUUCCUUUUUUUCUUUGGUUUCUUUCUUUGGGCGGCACCUCUUUUUUUUUUUUCUUCUUCAAACUGCUUCUUUUUCCAUUUUCCUUUUCAAGCAUUUUGGCUGGCCCAUUUUCAACAUUUCUAGAAGAGUGGUGCCCCAUAUUCAACAUUUCUCUCACUUAGAGAUUUGAUUGAGAAUCAAUCAAUCUCCACACCAUCCUUUCUGUUUCGCCAUAGUCAUGUUACCUACGUUUCUGCUAGGCCACAAGACGAUCUACUCCAGACAAACUUGUCAGUAUUGAUUGGCUUGAUCAUAACAUCUGCUAGGUUCUCUUUCGUAUGGAUUUUCUAUAAAUCUACACUUCUGUCUUCCACUACUUCUCGAACGAAGUGAUACUUAACUCCUAUGUGCUUUGUCCUGGAAUGAAAGGCUGGAUUCCUUGCAAUGUGCAAGGCACUCUGACUGUCACAAAACACAUGAAUUUUCUGUUGUUUCUGCCUGACCUCCUCCAAUAAUCUUUGUAUCCAAAUAGCUUCCUUGCAAGCUUGUAUAGCUGCCAUGUACUCUGCUUCUAUUGUAGAUAAAGCCACAACGGUCUGCAGUUUUGAAACCCAGCUUACAGCUGCUCCUGCAAGUGCAAACACAUAAUCAGUAGUGGAUUUCCUUUUAUCAAGGUCUCUUACAAAAUCUGAAUCCACAUAGCCCCUGACAGUAAACUCUGAUCUUCCAUAACAUAAUGUAACAUCUGAGGUUCCUCUGAUGUAUCUCAAAAUCCUCUUCGCAGUUAUCCAAUGCUUUCCACCAGGAUUCGUCAUGUAUCGACUAAUUGCUCCCACUGCUUGUGCAAUGUCUGGUCUUGUACAUAUCAUAGCGAACAUCAAACUUCCCACUGCUGAUGCAUACGGUACUCAAGACAUCUCCUUCCUCUCUGCUUCAUUGCUAGGACACAUACUUGAGGAUAAUUUGAAAUUAACAGGAAGUGGGGUAGAAAUUGACUUACAAUCUUGCAUGUUGAAGCGCCGCAAGAUUUUCUUCAAGUAAUUCUUCUGUGAAAUUCAAAUCUUCAUGUUAUUUCUGUCUCGGUGAAUUUGCAUCCCUAGAAUCUUGUUUGUUGGUCCCAAGUCCUUCAUUUCAAACUCCUUAGCCAAUUAUGCCUUCAAUUCUUAGAUUCGAUCUUUAUUGGGGCCUGCUACCAACAUGUCAUCCACAUACAAUAGCAAAAUAAUGAAAUCAUUAUCUUCAAACCUUUUGUAAUAUGCACAAUGGUCUGAACUGAGUUUGUUGUAUCCAAGGCUCAUGAUGAAGGAAUCAAAUCUCUUAUACCAACACCUCGGCGCCUGUUUGAGACCGUAUAGAGAUUUGUUCAACCUGCAAACCAAGUUCUCGUUUCCUGUUUCUGCAAAACCUUCUGGUUGUAGCAUAUAUAUUUCUUCUUCAAGUUCUCUAUGAAGAAAUGCAGUUUUCACAUCUAACUGCUCUAGAUGUAAGUCAAAUGUAGCACACAUCGCCAAGACUACUCUGACUGUCGUGAGUCGAACCACCGGCGAAAAUAUCUCGUUAAAGUCAAUACCUUCUUUCUGAGCAUAUCCUUUCACCACCAAUCUCACACGAUACCACUCCGCUUGGUCAUUGCCAUCACGUUUGAUCUUGUAGACCCAUUUGUUUCCAAUGGCUUUUCUUCCAUGUGGUAGUGGUACAAGUUCUCAUGUUUUAUUCUUGUGUAGAGCUUCAAUUUCUUCCUGCAUUACUAUCAUCCACAAAGUAACAUCUGAGCUUUCUAAAGUUUCAUGAAAAGUUGAAGGCUCUCCAUCCUCUGUUAGAAGACAGUACGCAACAUUAAUCUCUGUGACAUACUCUGAGUGCCACGCCGGUAGUCGUCUCUCACGAGUUAACCUACGAACUUCUAGAGCCUCGGACUCGACCGGUUCUUGUUAUUCGUGCUCUGGUGCUGUUUCAGAAGAAUCUGAAUCUUCUGGAUUAUUUUCCACAUAUACUGGCACAAUCUCUGACUUUUCUUUUGCAGUGCCAUCAUCCUUAUCUCUCCUUUGCAAUUGAUCUUCUAUAAAGAUAACAUCUCUGCUGAUGAUGAUCUUGUGGGUAGUGGGGUCCUACAGAUGAUACCCCUUUACUCCAUCAGCAUACCUCAAGAAGAUACAUCUUCUAGAUUUUGCAUCCAACUUUGUUCUUUCUUGGGCAUUGUACAUCACGUACACAUGACAUCCAAAUGCAUGUAGGUAGGAAUAAUCAGCUGACUUUCCAGUCCACAUCUCCAUCGCUGUCUUCAGCCCAAUUGUUGUAGAUGGCGACAGAUUUACUAUAUAACAAGCAGUUUUGGUUGCUUCUGCCCAGAAUGAAUUGGGUAGACCAGCAGUCCUCAACAUAGCUCUUAUUCUAUCUGUAAGAGUUCUGUUCAUCCGCCCUGCCACUCCAUUUUGUUGAGGAGUGUAUGCCACUGUGAACUACCUCUGAAUACCUUCUUGCUUACAGAAAGUAAGAAACUCGCCGUCUGUAUACUCUCCACCAUUAUCUGUCUUGAAGCACUUGAUCUUUUUACCAAAUUCAAGUUCCACCCGCGCUUUAUAUUCUUUAAAUACUAGAAAUACAUCUGACUUUUUCUUAAUUGGAUACACCCAACAUCUUCUGGAAUAAUCAUCAAUGAAAGUCACCAUCCCCUGGAUAUAUCCGGUGAUUCCCAAACAUCAGAAUGAAUCAAGUCUAAAAUGCAUUUACUUCUAACAACGGAUCUACUGAAUUUUAAUCUAUGUUGCUAACUGUUGUGCAAAUUUUAAUGUACUCGCAAGCGCACGAAUCUAUUGUAGUAUAGACUAAUGGUGACGAGUGUCGAUCCCACGAGGAGGUGGAUUUCAAUUGUAUAUAGAAUUAAUUUUGUAAAUGGGUGGUUGGAUUUGUGGUGGAAAUGAUUUGGAAUAUGCUAAAACUUAAAUUAAAAUGGCGAGAAUAAAUUCUGAAAUUGAAAUUGAAAUGACGAGAAUAAAUUGAAGCGAAGAUCUAUUGAAAUGACGUACUUGGGUAUCUGGAUCCGUAUCAACAUGCAUCAUGGGCUAAAUAAUCCGUAUUAAUGCCAAUUAAAUCAUGAGGGGGGAAUCCACACCUCAUGAACCACGCUCUAAUCAAUAUGGUGCUAAGGGCUUAUCGUGCCAAAUAAUAAUAACCUUUGUACUAGAGGGCCGGUGAAACCAAGGCGGUACUAGACAAGAUUAGUAUUAUUUGUCGACGAGAAGUCAAAACAUCCACAAAAAUUAGAGGGGAAGAGAAAGUAAAUUUACCAAAUAAAGCCCAUGACACAUGUUGAGACUUCACCUUCAACCCAAGCUUGAAAGAAAAUUAGCCACUCAUAAUUGAACUAGGGGCAAAAUGAAAAUUUAUUAAAAUACGAAGAAAAUACAAGAUGGAGAGAGAAUUACAGAAAAUGGAUCCCAAAAAUGGAUUCAGAGAUAUCAAAUUAGGGGGGGAAGGCCCCCUUUUUAUAGAUACAUGGAGUAAAUCAUGGCCAUCGGAUUAAAAACAGUUUGGACGCUCAGGAUUGCGCCACGUCAUCAGUCAACAGUCCACGGUUUGACCACGCGGAUGAACAGUAACACGGUUUUGACCCGGAUGAACAGUAACGCGGUUUGGUUGAAAAUAAUCCUGUGUAAUGCAUGCACCGUACGCGAGAUUUUUCGUCCACUGAUAUGCUGCCACGUCACCAUCAACAGUACAUAAGAAUUUUAGUCCAACAGGAUCGUGACACCUCAUCAGUCAAUGCCACAUCAUCGGUCAAUGCCACGUCAUCGAUCCGUCUAUGUGAACAGUGUCGUGAAAAGUAACAUAUACAGUACCGUAUACGUGAAUAGUACCGUACAUGUGAAUAGUGCCAUUUUUCCUUUUAUGCUCCUCCUAAGGUUUUCGACCGUCCUGAGUUCAAAAGUGAUGUCCGUUUUACCGUCUGAUCUCUCCUUUAUUGUGAAAUGACUAUAAUGCCCCUAAAAUACAUAAAAUACUUAAUUAAAAUAAAACACAUGUAAUUAAAUCACAAGAAGGUUAAAUACAUAAAAGUAAGGGUUGUUAGUAAGACUUGAAAUGUAAAAUGACAGAUUUCUCCUUUAUAAAUAUGCAUUUUCUAACACUCAACACACCCCCCAACCAGCUUAUUGCUAGUCCCUAGCAAAUAAAGCGAAAAUAAAAUUCAAAUCCAAAAUGAUUUUUUUUUUUUUAAUAAAAACACUCAUAUUUAUUCAAUCAGAUUAAUGAUAGCACUCAAAUAAAAGUAUAAGCAUUAUCUCCAGUCUAAAGCAACAUCACACCCACAUCAACCAUUCACAUGAAUCAGCCUAGUAGACUUUGUUAUAGCUACUUUCAAGAAUGACAUGUCAAACCCCAAAAUCUCACUGGAAGUAGUGACACUCUCACAAAGAAAUUAAAACCCAAUAAAAAUAGUCACUCCAAUGAAUGGUAAUUGAGAGAGAAAAUAAUAAAGAAGUGAUAUCACAUGCUCUCACCAAGAUGAAAUAAAUAUGCCCUCAGCUUAGAAAUAAUACGAUCUCAAGUCAAAUAAAAUGUUAGUCAACCCACUUUAUUUAUCUUUUUUUUUUUCUUUUUUUUUUUAUUAUGCAUCAUUACAUCUUUUUAGCCCAUUUAACUAGCUUCUACUUCAAACUAUAGUUCCCUAAAAUCAAGAAGGACUUUUAUUAGGACGUAACGUAGGCUAGGAAUAUGGCUAACAAAGAAAGGAAAUAAGGAAAAUAAAGUGUAUGUUUGAGAAAAAUGCAGAAUUAUUUUUUUUUUUUGGAAGUUGCAAGGUGGAUUUCACCUAUUAUUGUUAUUUUUAUUCUUUUGAAACAACAACUUUUGUUUUUGUUUUUUUUUUCUUUUUGCUUUUAUUUGGCAUAACUUCACUGAACAACAUAAUUAUUUACAUUUUCUCAAACAUAAAUAGGUGAUGGAACUUAAAAGACAUUGGGUAAUACUCCAAAUCGGAGUGGGUCAAGAUGAUAAGUUGACAAAGAAAAGGUUUUUGUUCUUUUUUUUUUUUUUUUUUUUUAAAGGCUCAAAAGGGGUAACUAUGGAUAUUUAAUAAAAGGGAUGGCUAGAAAGGCUCAAACGGAUCAAAGAUGGCCUUUCCAUCGUCUUUUAGGGCUCUAAAUAAUCAUCCAUAUCUACUAGUUAGAUGGGCCUCCCAAUGUAGCAACACAUAAUUUUUUUUUUAUUUUACAAUUUUUUUUUUUAAGGGUUAACUCAAAAGAAAUCUAGAGAUCGUAUAUACAAUAAUAAACUGCUAAGCUGUAUAAAGAAUGGGCAAAAGGGUUACUCUCCAAGAAAAAUGAUAGGCUCAAAAGCUCACUUGGUACUUAUUAUGACAUGUUCAUUCCUUCAAGCAACUCAUAUUUGUCUCCGACAUCAACAUGUAAAGUAGCAAACAUAGUGUAACAUCACUUCAGACUAAAGAUAAUACAAAUACUAAAAUUUGAAAUUCAUCAUGUCAUCCAAUGUUAACACAAAUCACAAUUUUUUUUUUUAAAUUUGAAACAACAUUCUACCCCCCAACCUAUUCUAAACAUGAAAGGAAAAUAUGCAUGCAAAAAUGUGAAAAUGAUGUAGAAAAAUUAAUUAGAAAAAAAAAUUUUUUUUUUUUUUAACUAAGAAGAUGCGUUUCUAGAGGCACGACACUCCAUAUUCAGCCAUCUUCGACUCAAAAAUUGGAAAAUAUAUAUUUAUAAAGGAGAAAGAGGAAGAAAACAAUUUUUUUUUAAACGAUGAAGAUGCGUUUCUAGAGUAACUACACUCCAUAUUCAGCCAUCUUCAACACAAAACGUUAGCAACAGUUAGUUUCUACAACAAAAAAUCAGUAAAAACUUAACCAAGAUUCCACAAUUGUCGACUAUUCCCUCCCCCCAACCAGAACGAAACAUUGUCCUCAAUGUUUGAAAGGAACGAAGUAGAGUUUAGAAGACAUCACCUGGGUGGUGCAACACAGAAGAAAAUAUUUACAGGCGGAGAGUUAAAUCUAAUUUGUACUUCUUACUGCGGCUACUGUUACCAUCAUUAUUUGGUCGCUCCAACACAAAGGUCCAGGGGUCUGGCUCCGGUUUAUAAGCUUGUAACAUAUCAAGUAGCUCAUUAGCAGUGUGAGCACAAAUAAAGAGUUUUUUCACAUUAGAAGGAAUGAAAUAGUUUUUUAUUGCAUGGUUAAGAAAUGCGAUAAAGCCAUCAUAAAAGUUAUUGACAUUUAACAAACCGAUGGGUUUCUGGUGAAUGUACAGAUGGGCCCAAGAUGAUAGUGUGAUAAGUGCCUCUAGUGUUGCAAGAUCUCCUGGAAGGAAAAUAAAAGCAUCAGCGUGAUUAAGCAUUUCGGUUAUUCUUUCUUGCAUACCUGAGACGACUAACUCUUCUCCAGUUGAUGAGUUAGACGAACUGCCCAAUGGUUUUAGGACUCUUGGGAUGAUGCCUAAUGUUGAGUGUUAGAAAAUGCAUAUUUAUAAAGGAGAAAACCGUCAUUUUACAUUUCAAGUCUUACUAACAACCCUUACUUUUAUGUAUUUAACCUUCUUGUGAUGUAAUUACGUGUGUGUUAUUUUAAUUAAGUAUUUUAUGUAUUUUAGGGGCAUUAUAGUCAUUUCACAAUAAAGGAGAGAUCAGACGGCAAAACGGACAUCACUUUUGAACUCAGGACGGUCGAAAACCUUAGGAGGAGCAUAAAAGGAAAAAUGGCACUAUUCACAUGUACGGUACUAUUCACGUAUACGGUACUGUAUAUGUUACUGUUCACGGCACUGUUCACAUAGACGGAUCGAUGACGUGGCAUUGACCGAUGAUGUGGCAUUGACUGAUGAGGUGUCACGAUCCUGUUGGACUAAAAUUCUUAUGUACUGUUGAUGGUGACGUGGCAGCAUAUCAGUGGACGAAAAAUCUCGCGUACGGUGCAUGCAUCACACAGGAUUAUUUUCAAUCAAACCGUGUUACUGUUCAUCCGCGUGGUCAAACCGUGGACUGUUGACUGAUGACGUGGCGCAAUCCUGAGCGUCCAAACUGUUUUUAAUCCGAUGGCCAUGAUUUACUCCAUGUAUCUAUAAAAAGGGGGCCUCCCCCCCCUAAUUUGAUAUCUCUGAAUCCAUUUUUGGGAUCCAUUUUCUGUAAUUCCCUCUCCAUCUUGUAUUUUCUUUGUAUUUUAAUAAAUUCCCAUUUUGCCCCUAGUUCAAUUAUGAGUAGCUAAUUUCCUUUCAAGCUUGGGUUGAAGGUGAAGUCUCAACAUGUGUCAUGGGCUUUAUUUGGUAAAUUUAUUUUCUUUUCCCCUCUAGUUUUUGUGGAUGAUUUGACUUAUCGUCGACAAAUAAUACUGAUCUUGUCUAGAUACCGCCUUGGUUACACCGGCUCUCUAGUAUAAGGUUAUUAUUAUUUGGCACGAUAAGCCCUUAACACCAUAUUGAUUAGAGCGUGGUUCAUGAGGUGUGGAUUCCCCCCUCAUGAUUUAAUUGGCAUUAAUACGGAUUAUUUAGCCCAUGAUGCAUGUUGAUACGGAUCCAGAUACCCAAGUACGUCAUUUCAAUAGAAUUCUCUUCAAUUUAUUCUCGCCAUUUCAAUUCCAAUUUCAGAAUUUAUUCUCACCAUUUUAAUUUAAGUUUUAGCAUAUUCCAAAUCAUUUCCACCACAGAUCCAAUCAACCAUUUGCAAAAUUAAUUCUAUACACAAUUAAAAUCCACCUCCUCGUGGGAUCGACACUCGUCACCAUUGAUCUAUACUACAAUAGAUUCGUGCACUUGCGAGUACAUUAAAAUUUGCACAACAAGUUUUUGGCGCCGUUGCCGGGGAGGUAAGUAAUUUUAAUUCAUAGAAUUAAUUUUUGUGAAUAAUUCCAUUUAAUUGUUUUCUUGUAUUUUUUAUUAUUUAAAAAAAAAAGAAAAAAAAAGUAAAUCUAUAUUUAAAGGUUAGUAUUUCUUUUCUUUUUCUCUUCUUUAAAAUUCUGUAAUUUAAUUUUCAAUUUAUUUUUUCUUUGUAAGUUUUGUUUAUUUUAUUAAUUUAAUUUUUAGUUAAUUUAUUUCACGUAUUUAUUUUUGUGUAUUUUUAUAGAAAGGUUGUAACAGCGUAAUAAGGUUAGUAUCGUAAUUUCUCCCUCUUCUUUAUUUUUAUUUGUUUUGUUCUCAUCUUUAUUUUUUAUUUGUUUUGUUCCCAUCUUUAUUUUUUUUGUUUUGUUUGCAUCUUUAUUUUUAUUUUAUUUAUUUUGCAUGCAUGGUCGUAGGUCAUUAUUACCUAAUCUUGAACCUAUAGACCUUGAACUAGAAAAAACACUUCGCACACAAAAACACAUUAAAAAUAAAUUUGGAAUGGAUUUACAAGCACCACAGGAGAGGCCAUUUAAGGACUAUUUUAGUCCCUUAGCUAAUUUGAGCACAUCAUGCAUAAGAUACCCAAAUGUAGCUGCUAGGAGUUUUGAAUUAAAACCUAGUGUGCUAAAUUGUCUCCCCACAUUCUAUGGCCUAGAAAAUGAGGACCCAUAUAAUCAUCUGAAUGAUUUUCAUGCCAUUUGUCAAACUUUUAAAUAUGAAAAUUUUUCAGACGAUGAUGUUAAACUUAGAUUAUUCCCAUUUUCUUUAAAGGAUAGAGCUCGUUCAUGGUUAAAUACUUUGCCUGCUAAUAGCAUUGCAUCAUGGGAACAAAUGGUUACAAAAUUUCUAAAUAAAUAUUUCCCAGUGCAUAAAACCAAUUCUAUUCGCAGGGAAAUUUCAGAGUUUAAACAAAGAGAGGACGAGCAGUUUUUCGAAACUUGGGAGCGAUUCAAUGGGCUACUCUUGAAGUGUCCACAUCAUGGGUACGAGAAAUGGCACCAAUGCCAAUACUUUUUGGAAGGGUUAUUGCCAAAUGUGCAAGAAUGGCUAAUGGCAACAAGUGGAGGAGAGCUAAUGUCAAAAAGCGCAACAGAGAUUUGGGAAUUCUUCCAGCGACAAGCGGAUAAUUCCCAACAACGGAGUCGAUCACUCAGGAAUACUAGAAGAAUUAAAGGAGUGAAUGAGGUUCAAAUUGGCGAGUCAACUUCGGGAAUCAAAGAAGUCAAGGAGAUGGUUGAAGGUCUUGCUCGACAAAUAGCAUCGUUGUCGACUGCUAAAUCAACAGAGCCACAUGACCAUGACUCAUACUCAGAUCAAGCCAAUGCCAUAGGUGUAAUGAGAAAGCCAUCUAAUUACAACCCAUACUCCAACACAUAUAACCCUGGAUGGAGAGACCACCCCAAUUUUUCAUGGUCUCAAGGAUUUCAACAGAAUGGACCAGCAGCUCCAGCUCCACCAAUGCAACAAAUUUCUCAAAAUCCUCAAGCCUCUCAGCCACCAUUCAGACCAUACAAUCAGAACCAGAACUACUCUCAACCCAGACCAUGGGAGGAUGCAUUCCAGAAUUUCAAGAAUGUUACUCACUCCACGAUUGAGCAACAGAACCGCACCAUUGAUGGAUUACGAAAUGAGUUGAGAGCAGGCUUCAACUCACAAGCCCAAUCAGUUUCAAGCCUUGAGAAGAUGGUGGGACAACUUGCUUCUUCAGUUCAGACCUUGGCAAUGACUGUUGAGAAAGGCAAGUUUCCAAGUCAACCAGUGCCUAAUCCUAAAGGAGUACAUGAAGCAAGUACCAGUUCACCACAGCAGCAUGGAGAGGUCAAAGCAGUCAUGACCUUGCGAAAAGGAAAGGAAGUCGACAACAAAGUGGAGAUGCCGGUGACAAAAGAAAAUCAAAUUGUACCUGUGAAUGUUGAGGACUCACCACCGGAGGAAAAAGAAGAAACCAACCCACGAGAAUAUGUUCCUAAAGCUCCAUUUCCUCAGAGGUUAGCGAAAGGAAAGAAGGGAAAAUCCACAGGUGAGAUUCUCGAAAUCUUCAAACAUGUAAGUGUUAACAUCCCUUUACUUGAUGCUAUUAAACAAGUUCCAUCUUAUGCCAAGUUUCUUAAAGACCUUUGUACUAAAAAGAGAAAUAUGCAUGUUCAAAAGAAGGCCUUUUUAACAGAAAACGUUAGUUCUAUACUCCAAUAUAAAAUUCCUCUAAAAUGCAAAGACCCAGGCUCCCCCACUAUCUCAUGUAGUAUAGGGAACCACACAAUUGAGAAUGCUUUGUUGGAUUUAGGAGCUAGUGUAAAUCUGUUGCCUUAUUCAGUAUUCGUGAAACUUGGACUGGGAGAAUUACACCCAACUCCAGUGGUGUUACAGCUUGCAGAUCGGUCCACAAAAAUACCUCGUGGUAUUGUGGAGGACGUGCUUAUCCAGGUAGACAAGUUUUAUUUUCCUGUUGAUUUCAUUGUAAUUGACACUCAACCAAUACAGGAUUCAAGGAAGCACAUCCCCAUUAUCCUAGGCCGACCUUUCUUGGCAACUGCGGAUGCUCACAUUCAAUGCAGGACUGGAAAUAUGCAGUUGUCCUUCGGCAACAUGACUAUGGAGCUAAAUAUUUUCAACAUUGCCAAACAACCUCACAGUGCAGAUGAUGGAAUUGUUGAUGUGGAUUUAAUAGAAACAAUAGUCGAUAAUACUUUUAUUUCAAAUCUUAGUGAUGACCCUUUACAGACAUGCUUAACUCACUUUGGUUUGGAUUUUGAUAUUGACAGAUCAGUUGAUGAGGUCAACGCUCUACUUGACUCAGCACCAUCCAUGGACACUAAUAAAUGGAAGUCAAGAGUUGAACAACUAGCACCAUCAGAGAAGAAACUCAUCCCAUCAUCAGAAUCACCACCGAAACUCGAGCUCAAACCAUUGCCCAACACAUUGGAAUAUGCAUUUUUGGGAGAAGAAAGUACUCUACCGGUAAUCAUCUCAUCAUCCUUAAAUGACGAACAAAAAGGUAAGUUGUUGGAUGUUUUAAAAGAGCACAAAGGAGCAUUAGGAUGGACCAUAGCAGACAUUAAAGGUAUAAACCCAGUAGACUGCAUGCAUUACAUUCACCUUGAUGAAAAUGCUAAAACUACUAGGGAGAUGCAACGUCGGUUAAAUCCUAAUAUGAAAGAAGUUGUUAGAACAGAAGUCCUUAAGCUAUUAGACGCAGGUAUCAUUUACCCAAUUUCUGAUAGUUCAUGAGUCAGUCCUGUACAAGUUGUCCCCAAAAAGUCAGGAGUCACAGUAGUUACCAAUGCUGAUAAUGAAUUGAUACCAACUAGAGUAACUACAGGAUGGCGUGUAUGCAUUGAUUAUAGAAAGUUGAAUUCUGUCACACGUAAAGACCAUUUUCCUUUACCAUUUAUUGAUCAAAUGCUCGAUAGAUUAGCAGGCCAUGAAUUUUAUUGCUUUCUAGAUGGCUACUCAGGAUAUAAUCAGAUUCCCAUAGCACCAAAAGAUCAAGAGAAAACUACUUUCACUUGCCCUUUUGGCACUUUUGCAUAUAGGAGAAUGCCAUUUGGAUUAUGUAAUGCACCUGCUACAUUCCAACGAUGCAUGUUGAGCAUUUUUUCUGAUAUGGUUGAACGAUUCCUUGAAGUCUUUAUGGAUGAUUUUUCUGUCUUUGGUGACUCGUUUGAUCAAUGUUUACAUCAUCUAAUGCUAGUUCUGCAGAGAUGUAUCGAGAAGAACUUAAUCUUAAAUUGGGAGAAGUGCCAUUUUAUGGUAAAACAAGGUAUUGUUCUCGGUCACAUCAUUUCGAGCAAAGGUAUUGAGGUUGACAAAGCCAAGGUGGAUCUCAUUUCUAAUCUUCCUCCACCUAAAACAGUCAGAGAAGUAAGAUCUUUCCUUGGACAUGCUGGUUUUUUAUAGACGUUUCAUUAAAGAUUUUAGCAAAGUUUCUAGACCCUUAUGCAAUUUACUUGCUAAGGAUGUACCUUUUAUCUUUAAUGAUUCAUGUCUUAUGGCUUUUGAAAAAUUAAAGCAAUUGUUGACAUCAUCACCCAUCAUUCAGGCCCCAAACUGGAGCUUACCAUUUGAGCUUAUGUGUGAUGCAUCUGAUUAUGCAGUAGGAGCAGUUUUAGGACAAAGAGUUGAUCGAAUUCCUCAUGUUAUUUACUAUGCUAGUAUGACAUUGAAUGAUGCACAGUUGAACUAUUCAACUACUGAAAAAGAAAUGCUAGCAGUAGUGUUUGCAUUGGAAAAAUUUCGAUCUUAUCUCAUUGGUUGUAAAAUAAUUGUGUUCACAGAUCAUGCUGCUCUUAAAUAUCUUCUCACAAAGAAAGAUGCAAAAGCUAGACUAAUUCGUUGGGUGUUACUUUUGCAGGAAUUUGACUUGGAAUUCAAAGAUAAGAAAGGGACAGAAAAUGUUGUGGCGGACCAUCUCUCUCGUCUCCACUUUGACACAAUUACAGAACCAUUACCAUUGAAUGAGUCAUUUCCAGAUGAACAAUUAAUGAAUGUGGAAGUAUUACCUUGGUAUGCUGAUAUAGUUAAUUAUCUUGUUACAGGUAAACUUCCAGAGCAUUGGACCAAGCAAGACAAGGCUAAAUUCUUUGCGGAAAUAAAGAAUUUCUUUUGGGAUGACCCGUAUUUGUUCAAGUAUUGUGCAGAUCAAAUUGUUAGGCGAUGUGUCCCAGAAAGUGAAAUUCAGAAUAUCCUGUCAUUCUGCCAUGCACAAGCUUGUGGAGGCCACUUCAGUGCUAAGAAAACAGCGACUAAAGUUUUACAAUGUGGUUUCUAUUGGCCAACUAUAUUUCGAGAUGCUUACACUUUCUGUUCUUCAUGUGAUAGGUGUCAACGAAUGGGGAGUAUUACACGAAGGAACAUGAUGCCACUAAAUCCAAUUUUAGUGGUUGAGAUUUUUGACGUAUGGGGUAUCGACUUCAUGGGACCCUUUCCCCCUUCUUUUGGCCAUCAAUACAUAUUGGUUGGUGUUGACUACGUCUCGAAAUGGGUAGAAGCAAUUCCAUGUAGGACCAAUGAUCACAAAGUGGUGAUAGGAUUUUUGAAAAGCAACAUUGUUUCACGCUUUGGAUUCCCUCGAGCGAUAAUCAGUGAUGGUGGUGCCCACUUUUGUAACAAAACAUUCAAAGUUCUUUUGACAAAGUAUUCAAUCACACACAAAGUGGCGACCCCGUAUCAUCCGCAAACCAGUGGCCAAGUUGAGAUCUCCAAUCGAGAAAUCAAGCACAUAUUAGAAAAAAACGGUGAGGCCAGACAGAAAAGAUUGGUCAUUAAGACUUGAUGAUGCAUUAUGGGCAUAUAGAACGGCUUUCAAGACCCGAUUGGGAUGUCACCUACAGGCUAGUGUAUGGAAAAGCUUGCCACCUACCUGUGGAACCGAGCAUCGUGCAUAUUGGGCCAUCAAGAAAUUCAAUUUUGACAUGCAGCAAGCCAGCUCAGAAAGAAGAUUACAACUGGCAGAACUUGAAGAAAAUUCGCAAUGAUGCAUACGAAAAUGCCAAGAUUUACAAGCAACGAAUGAAAGUCUUUCAUGACAAGCACAUUAUGAGAAAAUCGUUCACUCCAGGUCAGAAAGUGCUUUUUAUUCAAAUUCUCGUUUGCACCUAUUCCAGGUAAGUUACGCUCCUCGAUGGUCUGUCCCUUUAUUGUUCAUACUAUUUUUCCACAUGGGGCAAUUGAAAUUAAAGACCCAAAGAACGGUGUCACGUUUAAAGUUAAUGGUCAAAGAUUAAAGCCAUAUCUAGAGUACCAACCACAUGGAGAAGACACCGAAAUAAAUUUGAGUGACCCACCAGAUUUGAAUUGAUUUUUUUCUUUUUGUUGAUUUGAUUUUUCUUUCUUUCUUUUUAUUAUUCUUUUGCUAAUUGAAAUUAUUUUUGCAUAAGUGUGUUUGUUUUACCAUUAAGUUUUCUUUUUUCUUAUCAUUGUUAAUCAUGAGUACCAUACUUAGACCGUUCCUCCUGAACAUUCUUAAACCACUUCAACGUGUCAAAACUCAUCUCAAAAAGCAGAUUCAAUUUUGUAAAACACAACGCAUUUGGGCUCUACAACCACCAGAGUUAGUAGCCUAUGUUGAGGGUUUAGAACGCCAACUCAGAGACAUUGAAGAAGUGUUUACGACAUCCAGUUGGAGCUUGAGGUAAAUUCAAUAAGAGGACGAUUUUAAUUUUCUUUGUGUGUUUUUAAUUUGUUUUUUCUGUUGUGUGCUUUAGUUUGUUACCCCGGUGAAAUGGCGGAUAACGGUACUCCGUGACAAUCAAGUCGGUUACUUCAGUUUCCCACAAUAACUGACAUUCUGAGGUGAAAGUAUGGACAGAAACGAGAUUCUAGCGAAGCUUCACAAGCGAUUCCCUUCACUUCCUCAGAAUGCCCUCCUUACAAUCUAUAAAGCCCGGUCUGAACGCAUGCGAUUGCUCAUGAAGAAUAACAUACCUGCUGACAUCCGUUGGUUAAUCGAGGCUAAAGUACGAUCGGCAGGUGAGUUACCUCCAAAAUUUAUUGCAUUCAUGCUUGGUUGUGGUAAAGGAAAUUAUGCAAAAGAAAACGACGAGCUCGAAGAAUUUCUGUUGCUUGUCAUAAGUGUGCCAGAAUGAGUUGCGAUAGAAACCCAUGUUCUUUAGGAAUGGUGUCUGAUAACAGGGAAGAUAAGAUUCAAUUCAUUAGGGAUGGCUUGAAUAAGGAGUCAUUGGAUGAUAUCCUUUUGUCUCUUGAAACGCAUCCCAGUGGAUAUGUGCAAGGAGCGAUUCUCCAGUUAUGGCCAUUAUUCCAGAAAGAGCAUACACGAUAUAGUCUCGGGAAUCUGACUAUAAACGACCCUGUUUGCCAGUUUAUAAGAAAACUGGAUGGGAAGCCCAUCCUCGACCCAUAGAGGCGUUUCAAGCCGUUUCUGGACGUAAAACCAGAGGAAGAUGUGAGCCACAGUCGCAACUACGUGUAAAUAUCCUUUUACUUUACUGUUAUUUAUUUCAUUUCACUAUUGUUUAUCGUUUGCAUUAUUGCCUUUAAUAAUUUUAUUACUGUUUGCUUUUUCCUUUUUACUGUUCCUUUUUGACUCGCGAGCCACGUGCUUUACGCGUUAUUUGACACUGACAUUCAAAAGAAGGCCUUUUUAACAGAAAACGUUAGUUCUAUACUCCAAUAUAAAAUUCCUCUAAAAUGCAAAGACCCAGGCUCCCCCACUAUCUCAUGUAGUAUAGGGAACCACACAAUUGAGAAUGCUUUGUUGGAUUUAGGAGCUAGUGUAAAUCUGUUGCUUUAUUCAGUAUUCGUGAAACUUGGACUGGGAGAAUUACACCCAACUCCAGUGGUGUUACAGCUUGCAGAUCGGUCCACAAAAAUACCUCGUGGUAUUGUGGAGGACGUGCUUAUCCAGGUAGACAAGUUUUAUUUUCCUGUUGAUUUCAUUGUAAUUGACACUCAACCAAUACAGGAUUCAAGGAAGCACAUCCCCAUUAUCCUAGGCCGACCUUUCUUGGCAACUGCGGAUGCUCACAUUCAAUGCAGGACUGGAAAUAUGCAGUUGUCCUUCGGCAACAUGACUAUGGAGCUAAAUAUUUUCAACAUUGCCAAACAACCUCACAGUGCAGAUGAUGGAAUUGUUUGAUGUGGAUUUAAUAGAAACAAUAGUCGAUAAUACUUUUAUUUCAAAUCUUUAGUGAUGACCUUUACAGACAUGCUUAACUCACUUUGGUUUGGAUUUUUGAUAUUGACAGAUCAGUUGAUGAGGUCAACGCUCUACUUGACUCAGCACCAUCCAUGGACACUAAUAAAUGGAAGUCAAGAGUUGAACAACUAGCACCAUCAGAGAAGAAACUCAUCCCAUCAUCAGAAUCACCACCGAAACUCGAGCUCAAACCAUUGCCCAACACAUUGGAAUAUGCAUUUUUGGGAGAAGAAAGUACUCUACCGGUAAUCAUCUCAUCAUCCUUAAAUGACGAACAAAAAGGUAAGUUGUUGGAUGUUUUAAAAGAGCACAAAGGAGCAUUAGGAUGGACCAUAGCAGACAUUAAAGGUAUAAACCCAGUAGACUGCAUGCAUUACAUUCACCUUGAUGAAAAUGCUAAAACUACUAGGGAGAUGCAACGUCGGGUUAAAUCCUAAUAUGAAAGAAGUUGUUAGAACAGAAGUCCUUAAGCUAUUAGACGCAGGUAUCAUUUACCCAAUUUUGAUAGUUCAUGGAGUCAGUCCUGUACAAGUUGUCCCCAAAAGGUCAGGAGUCACAGUAGUUACCAAUGCUGAUAAUGAAUUGAUACCAACUAGAGUAACUACAGGAUGGCGUGUAUGCAUUGAUUAUAGAAAGUUGAAUUCUGUCACACGUAAAGACCAUUUUCCUUUACCAUUUAUUGAUCAAUGCUCGAUAGAUUAGCAGGCCAUGAAUUUUAUUGCUUUCUAGAUGGCUACUCAGGAUAUAAUCAGAUUCCCAUAGCACCAAAAGAUCAAGAGAAAAUACUUUCACUUGCCCUUUUGGCACUUUUGCAUAUAGGAGAAUGCCAUUUGGAUUAUGUAAUGCACCUGCUACAUUCCAACGAUGCAUGUUGAGCAUUUUUUCUGAUAUGGUUGAACGAUUCCUUGAAGUCUUUAUGGAUGAUUUUUCUGUCUUUGGUGACUCGUUUGAUCAAUGUUUACAUCAUCUAAUGCUAGUUCUGCAGAGAUGUAUCGAGAAGAACUUAAUCUUAAAUUGGGAGAAGUGCCAUUUUAUGGUAAAACAAGGUAUUGUUCUCGGUCACAUCAUUUCGAGCAAAGGUAUUGAGGUUGACAAAGCCAAGGUGGAUCUCAUUUCUAAUCUUCCUCCACCUAAAACAGUCAGAGAAGUAAGAUCUUUCCUUGGACAUGCUGGUUUUUAUAGACGUUUCAUUAAAGAUUUUAGCAAAGUUUCUAGACCCUUAUGCAAUUUACUUGCUAAGGAUGUACCUUUUAUCUUUAAUGAUUCAUGUCUUAUGGCUUUUGAAAAAUUAAAGCAAUUGUUGACAUCAUCACCCAUCAUUCAGGCCCAAACUGGAGCUUACCAUUUGAGCUUAUGUGUGAUGCAUCUGAUUAUGCAGUAGGAGCAGUUUAGGACAAAGAGUUGAUCGAAUUCCUCAUGUUAUUUACUAUGCUAGUAUGACAUUGAAUGAUGCACAGUUGAACUAUUCAACUACUGAAAAAGAAAUGCUAGCAGUAGUGUUUGCAUUGGAAAAAUUUCGAUCUUAUCUCAUUGGUUGUAAAAUAAUUGUGUUCACAGAUCAUGCUGCUCUUAAAUAUCUUCUCACAAAGAAAGAUGCAAAAGCUAGACUAAUUCGUUGGGUGUUACUUUUGCAGGAAUUUGACUUGGAAUUCAAAGAUAAGAAAGGGACAGAAAAUGUUGUGGCGGACCAUCUCUCUCGUCUCCACUUUGACACAAUUACAGAACCAUUACCAUUGAAUGAGUCAUUUCCAGAUGAACAAUUAAUGAAUGUGGAAGUAUUACCUUGGUAUGCUGAUAUAGUUAAUUAUCUUGUUACAGGUAAACUUCCAGAGCAUUGGACCAAGCAAGACAAGGCUAAAUUCUUUGCGGAAAUAAAGAAUUUCUUUUGGGAUGACCCGUAUUUGUUCAAGUAUUGUGCAGAUCAAAUUGUUAGGCGAUGUGUCCCAGAAAGUGAAAUUCAGAAUAUCCUGUCAUUCUGCCAUGCACAAGCUUGUGGAGGCCACUUCAGUGCUAAGAAAACAGCGACUAAAGUUUUACAAUGUGGUUUCUAUUGGCCAACUAUAUUUCGAGAUGCUUACACUUUCUGUUCUUCAUGUGAUAGGUGUCAACGAAUGGGGAGUAUUACACGAAGGAACAUGAUGCCACUAAAUCCAAUUUUAGUGGUUGAGAUUUUUGACGUAUGGGGUAUCGACUUCAUGGGACCCUUUCCCCCUUCUUUUGGCCAUCAAUACAUAUUGGUUGGUGUUGACUACGUCUCGAAAUGGGUAGAAGCAAUUCCAUGUAGGACCAAUGAUCACAAAGUGGUGAUAGGAUUUUUGAAAAGCAACAUUGUUUCACGCUUUGGAUUCCCUCGAGCGAUAAUCAGUGAUGGUGGUGCCCACUUUUGUAACAAAACAUUCAAAGUUCUUUUGACAAAGUAUUCAAUCACACACAAAGUGGCGACCCCGUAUCAUCCGCAAACCAGUGGCCAAGUUGAGAUCUCCAAUCGAGAAAUCAAGCACAUAUUAGAAAAAACGGUGAGGCCAGACAGAAAAGAUUGGUCAUUAAGACUUGAUGAUGCAUUAUGGGCAUAUAGAACGGCUUUCAAGACCCCGAUUGGGAUGUCACCCUACAGGCUAGUGUAUGGAAAAGCUUGCCACCUACCUGUGGAACUCGAGCAUCGUGCAUAUUGGGCCAUCAAGAAAUUCAAUUUUGACAUGCAGCAAGCCAGCUCAGAAAGAAGAUUACAACUGGCAGAACUUGAAGAAAUUCGCAAUGAUGCAUACGAAAAUGCCAAGAUUUACAAGCAACGAAUGAAAGUCUUUCAUGACAAGCACAUUAUGAGAAAAUCGUUCACUCCAGGUCAGAAAGUGCUUUUAUUCAAUUCUCGUUUGCACCUAUUCCCAGGUAAGUUACGCUCUCGAUGGUCUGGUCCCUUUAUUGUUCAUACUAUUUUUCCACAUGGGGCAAUUGAAAUUAAAGACCCAAAGAACGGUGUCACGUUUAAAGUUAAUGGUCAAAGAUUAAAGCCAUAUCUAGAGUACCAACCACAUGGAGAAGACACCGAAAUAAAUUUGAGUGACCCACCAGAUUUGAAUUGAUUUUUUUCUUUUUGUUGAUUUGAUUUUUCUUUCUUUCUUUUUAUUAUUCUUUUGCUAAUUGAAAUUAUUUUUGCAUAAGUGUGUUUGUUUUACCAUUAAGUUUUCUUUUUUCUUAUCAUUGUUAAUCAUGAGUACCAUACUUAGACCGUUCCUCCUGAACAUUCUUAAACCACUUCAACGUGUCAAAACUCAUCUCAAAAAGCAGAUUCAAUUUUGUAAAACACAACGCAUUUGGGCUCUACAACCACCAGAGUUAGUAGCCUAUGUUGAGGGUUUAGAACGCCAACUCAGAGACAUUGAGAGAAGUGUUUACGACAUCCAGUUGGAGCUUGAGGUAAAUUCAAUAAGAGGACGAUUUUAAUUUUCUUUGUGUGUUUUAAUUUGUUUUUCUGUUUGUGUGCUUUAGUUUGUUACCCCGGUGAAAUGGCGGAUAACGGUACUCCGUGACAAUCAAGUCGGUUACUUCAGUUUCCCACAAUAACUGACAUUCUGAGGUGAAAGUAUGGACAGAAACGAGAUUCUAGCGAAGCUUCACAAGCGAUUCCCUUCACUUCCUCAGAAUGCCCUCCUUACAAUCUAUAAAGCCCGGUCUGAACGCAUGCGAUUGCUCAUGAAGAAUAACAUACCUGCUGACAUCCGUUGGUUAAUCGAGGCUAAAGUACGAUCGGCAGGUGAGUUACCUCCAAAAUUUAUUGCAUUCAUGCUUGGUUGUGGUAAAGGAAAUUAUGCAAGAAAACGACGAGCUCGAAGAAUUUCUGUUGCUUGUCAUAAGUGUGCCAGAAUGAGUUGCGAUAGAAACCCAUGUUCUUUAGGAAUGGUGUCUGAUAACAGGGAAGAUAAGAUUCAAUUCAUUAGGGAUGGCUUGAAUAAGGAGUCAUUGGAUGAUAUCCUUUUGUCUCUUGAAACGCAUCCCAGUGGAUAUGUGCAAGGAGCGAUUCUCCAGUUAUGGCCAUUAUUCCAGAAAGAGCAUACACGAUAUAGUCUCGGGAAUCUGACUAUAAACGACCCUGUUUGCCAGUUUAUAAGAAAACUGGAUGGGAAGCCCAUCCUCGACCCAUAGAGGGCGUUCAAGCCGUUUCUGGACGUAAAACCAGAGGAAGAUGUGAGCCACAGUCGCAACUACGUGUAAAUAUCCUUUUACUUUACUGUUAUUUUAUUUCAUUUCACUAUUGUUUUAUCGUUUGCAUUAUUGCCUUUAAUAAUUUUAUUACUGUUUGCUUUUUCCUUUUUACUGUUUCCUUUUUGACUCGCGAGCCACGUGCUUUACGCGUUAUUUGACACUGACAUGUUACCUCAUUCACAGCUGUGAUCCACUGUCACCAAGAUUCUUAAAUGUGAUUUACUUUUUGUCAAGCACUCACAAAUUGUUUUUGAGAAAUAUUCCAAUGGCAGCUACUCCCAAUAGACAAUUCAAGAACAUUUGUGUGCUUUCUGGAUUUACCUAUGGCAAACAUAAAGAGUUCGUGGAGGCAGCCAUAGAUCUUGGUCGAAGCAUAGCAGCGAGAAAAUUACACUUGGUGUAUGGAGGAGGUAACCGAGGGUUAUCAAAAAUGGUUUCAGAAGCAGCUUUUAUCAGAGGAAGUCAAGUGUUAGGCAUCAUCCCAAGAGUCUUAAAACCAUUGGGCAGUUCGUCUGACUCAUCAACUGGAGAAGAGUUAGUCGUCUCAGGUAUGCAAGAAAGAAUAACUGAAAUGCUUAAUCAUGCUGAUGCUUUUAUUUUCCUUCCAGGAGAUCUUGCAACACUAGAGGCACUUAUGACACUAGCAUCUUGGGCCCAUCUACACAUUCACCAGAAACCCAUCGGUUUGUUAAAUGUCAAUAACUUUUAUGAUGGCUUUAUCGCAUUUCUUAACCAUGCAAUAAAAAACUAUUUCAUUCCUUCUAAUGUGAAAAAACUCUUUAUUUGUGCUCACACUGCUAAUGAGCUACUUGAUAUGUUACAAGCUUAUAAACCGGAGCCAGACCCCUGGACCUUUGUGUUGGAGCGACCAAAUAAUGAUGGUAACAGUAGCCGCAGUAAGAAGUACAAAUUAGAUUUAACUCUCCGCCUGUAAAUAUUUUCUUCUGUGUUGCACCACCCAGGUGAUGUCUUCUAAACUCUACUUAUUUCCUUUCAAACAUUGAGGACAAUGUUUCGUUCUGGUUGGGGGGAGGGAAUAGUCGACAAUUGUGGAAUCUUGGUUAAGUUUUUACUAAUUUUUUGUUGUAGAAACUAACUGUUGCUAACUUUUUGUGUUGAAGAUGGCUGAAUAUGGAGUGUAGUUACUCUAGAAACGCAUCUUCAUUGUUCGAAAAAAAAUAAAAAUUCUUUUUCUUUAUUAAGUUUUGAUGUUCAUUUUUCUUCUUCUUUUUAUUUUCUCCUCUAUAAAUAUACAUUUUCCAACUUUUGAGUCGAAGAUGGCUGAAUAUGGAGUGUAGUGCCUCUAGAAACGCAUCUUUAAAAAAAAAAAAAAAAAAAAAAACCAUUUUCUUUUCCUAUCAUUUUAAGUGUAACUUUUCUAAUUAGUUUUUCUACAUCAUUUUCGCAUUUCUGCAUGCAUAUUUUCCUUUCAUGCUUAGAAUAGGUUGGGGGUAGAAUGUUGUUAAAAAAAAAAAAAAAAAAAAAAAAAAUUUGUGUUAUUUGUUUUAACAUUGGAUGACAUGAUUAAUUUCAAAUUUUAGUAUUUGUAUUAUCUUUGGUCUUAAGUGAUGUUACGCUAUGUUUGCUACUUUACAUGUUGAUGUCGGAGACAAAUAUGAGUUGCUUGAAGGAAUGAACAUGUCAUAAAUAAGUGCCAAGUGAGUUGUUGAGCCUAUCAUUUUCUUGGAGAGUAACCCUUUUGCCCAUUCUCUAUACAGCUUAGCAGUUUAUUAUUUUAUACACGAUCUCUAGAUUUCUUUUGAGUUAACCCUUUAAAAAAAAAAUGGUAAAAUUAAAAAAAAAAGAAAAAAGAAAAAAAAUGUGUGUUACUACAUUGGGAGGCCCAUCUAACUAGUAGAUAUGGAUAAUUAUUUAGAGCCCUAAAAGACGAUGGAAAGGCCAUCUUUGAUCCGUUUGAGCCUUUCUAGCCAUCCCUGUUAUUAAAUAUCCAUAGUUACCCCUUUUGAGCCUUUAAAAAAAAAAAAAAAAAAAAAAAACCUUUUCUUUGUCAACUUAUCAUCUUGACCCACUCUGAUUUGGAGUAUUACCCAAUGUCUUUUAAGUUCCAUCACCUAUUUAUGUUUGAGAAAAUGUAAAUAAUUUUGUUGUUCAGUGAAGUUAUGCCAAAUAAAAGCAAAAAGAACAAAAAAAAACAAAAACAAAAUUUGUUGUUUCAAAAGAAUAAGAAUAACAAUAAUAGGUGAAAUCCACCUUGCAACUUCCAAAAAAAAAAAAAAAAAAAAAAAUUUGCAUUUUUCUCAAACAUACACUUUGUUUUCCUUAUUUCCUUUCUUUGUUAGCCAUAUCCCUAGCCUACGUUACGUCCUAAUAAAAGUCCUUCUUGAUUUUAGGGAACUAUAGUUUGAAGUAGAAGCUAGUUAUAUGGGCUAAAAAGAUGUAGUGAUGCAUAAUAAAAAAAAAAAAGAUAAAUAAAGUGGGUUGACUAACAUUUUAUUUGACUUGAGAUCGUAUUAUUUCUAAGCUGAGGGCAUAUUUAUUUCAUCUUGGUGAGAGCAUGUGAUAUCAUUUCUUUAUUAUUUUCUCUCUCAAUUACCAUUCAUUGGAGUGACUAUGUUUAUUGGGUUUUAAUUUCUUUGUGAGAGUGUCACUACUUCCAGUGAGAUUUUGGGGUUUGACAUGUCAUUCUUGAAAGUAGCUAUAACAAAGUCUACUGGGCUAAUUCAUGUGGAUGGUUGAUGUGGGUGUGAUGUUGCUUUAGACUGGAGAUAAUGCUUAUACUUUUAUUUGAUUGCUAUCAUUAAUCUGACGGAAUAAAUACGAGUGUUUCUAUUAAAAAAAAUAUAUAUAUAUUUUAAAUUUGAAUUUUGUUUUCGCUUUAUUUGCUAGGGACUAGCAAUAAGCUGGUUGGGGGGUGUGUUGAGUGUUAGAAAAUGCAUAUUUAUAAAGGAGAAAACCGUCAUUUUACAUUUCAAGUCUUACUAACAACCCUUACUUUUAUGUAUUUAACCUUCUUGUGAUGUAAUUACGUGUGUGUUAUUUUAAUUAAGUAUUUUAUGUAUUUUAGGGGCAUUAUAGUCAUUUCACAAUAAAGGAGAGAUCAGACGGCAAAACGGACAUCACUUUUGAACUCAGGACGGUCGAAAACCUUAGGAGGAGCAUAAAAGGAAAAAUGGCACUAUUCACAUGUACGGUACUAUUCACGUAUACGGUACUGUAUAUGUUACUGUUCACGGCACUGUUCACAUAGACGGAUCGAUGACGUGGCAUUGACCGAUGAUGUGGCAUUGACUGAUGAGGUGUCACGAUCCUGUUGGACUAAAAUUCUUAUGUACUGUUGAUGGUGACGUGGCAGCAUAUCAGUGGACGAAAAAUCUCGCGUACGGUGCAUGCAUCACACAGGAUUAUUUUCAAUCAAACCGUGUUACUGUUCAUCCGCGUGGUCAAACCGUGGACUGUUGACUGAUGACGUGGCGCAAUCCUGAGCGUCCAAACUGUUUUUAAUCCGAUGGCCAUGAUUUACUCCAUGUAUCUAUAAAAAGGGGGCCUCCCCCCCCUAAUUUGAUAUCUCUGAAUCCAUUUUUGGGAUCCAUUUUCUGUAAUUCCCUCUCCAUCUUGUAUUUUCUUUGUAUUUUAAUAAAUUCCCAUUUUGCCCCUAGUUCAAUUAUGAGUAGCUAAUUUCCUUUCAAGCUUGGGUUGAAGGUGAAGUCUCAACAUGUGUCAUGGGCUUUAUUUGGUAAAUUUAUUUUCUUUUCCCCUCUAGUUUUUGUGGAUGAUUUGACUUAUCGUCGACAAAUAAUACUGAUCUUGUCUAGAUACCGCCUUGGUUACACCGGCUCUCUAGUAUAAGGUUAUUAUUAUUUGGCACGAUAAGCCCUUAACACCAUAUUGAUUAGAGCGUGGUUCAUGAGGUGUGGAUUCCCCCCUCAUGAUUUAAUUGGCAUUAAUACGGAUUAUUUAGCCCAUGAUGCAUGUUGAUACGGAUCCAGAUACCCAAGUACGUCAUUUCAAUAGAAUUCUCUUCAAUUUAUUCUCGCCAUUUCAAUUCCAAUUUCAGAAUUUAUUCUCACCAUUUUAAUUUAAGUUUUAGCAUAUUCCAAAUCAUUUCCACCACAGAUCCAAUCAACCAUUUGCAAAAUUAAUUCUAUACACAAUUAAAAUCCACCUCCUCGUGGGAUCGACACUCGUCACCAUUGAUCUAUACUACAAUAGAUUCGUGCACUUGCGAGUACAUUAAAAUUUGCACAACACCUAACACUUGACUUCCUCUGAUAAAAGCUGCUUCUGAGACCAUUUUUGAUAACCCUCGGUUACCUCCUCCAUACACCAAGUGUAAUUUUCUCGCUGCUAUGCUUCGACCAAGAUCUAUGGCUGCCUCCACGAACUCUUUAUGUUUGCCAUAGGUAAAUCCAGAAAGCACACAAAUGUUCUUGAAUUGUCUAUUGGGAGUAGCUGCCAUUGUGAUACUUCUCAAAAACAAUUUGUGAGUGCUUGACAAAAGAUAAAUCACAUUUAAGAAUUUUGGUGACAGUGGAUCACAGCUGUGAAUGAGGUAACAUGUCAGUGUCAAAUAACGCGUAAAGCACGUGGCUCGCGAGUCAAAAAGGAAACAGUAAAAAGGAAAAAGCAAACAGUAAUAAAAUUAUUAAAGACAAUAAUGCAAACAAUAAAACAACAGUGAAAUGAAAUAAAAUAACUGUAAAAUAAAAGGAUAUUUACACGUAGUUGCGACUGUGGCUCACAUCUUCCUCUGGUUUUACGUCCAGAAACGGCUUGAACGCCCUCUAUGGGUCGAGGAUAGGCUUCCCAUCCAGUUUUCUUAUAAACUGACAAACAGGGUCGUUUAUAGUCAGAUUCCCGAGACUAUAUCGUGCAUGCUCUUUCUGGAAUAAUGGCCAUAACUGGAGAAUCGCUCCUUGCACAUAUCCACUGGGAUGCGUUUCAAGAGACAAAAGGAUAUCAUCCAAUGACUCCUUAUUCAAGCCAUCCCUAAUGAAUUGAAUCUUAUCUUCUCUGUUAUCAGACAUCAUUCCUAAAGAACAUGGGUUUCUAUCGCAACUCAUUCUGGCACACUUGUGACAAGCAACAGAAAUUCUUCGAGCUCGUCAUUUUCUUGCAUAAUUUCCUUUACCACAACCAGGCAUGUAUGCAAUAAAUUUAGGAGGUAACUCACCUGCUAAUCGUACUUUAGCCUCGAUUAACCAACGGAUGUCUGCAGGUAUGUUAUUCCUCAUGAGCAAUCGCAUGCGUUCAGACCGGGCUUUAUAGAUUGUAAGGAGGGCAUUCUGAGGAAGUGAAGGAAAUCGCUUGUGAAGCUUUGCUAAAAUCUCAUUUCUAUCCAUACCUUCUCCUCAGAAUAUCAGUUAUUAUGGGAAACUGAAGUUAACCGACUUGAUUGUCACGGAGUACCGUUAUCCGCCACUUUACCGGGGUAACAAACUAAAACACACCAAAAAGAAAAACAAAUUAAAACACACAAGGAAAAUUAAAAUCGUCCUCUUAUUGAAUUUACCUCAAGCUCCAACUGGAUGUCGUAAACACUUCUCUCAAUAUCUCGGAGUUGGCUUUCUAGAUUCUCAACAUAGGCUACUAACUCUGGUGGUUGUAAAGCCCAAAUGCGAUGUGUUUUACAAAAUUGAAUCUGCCUUUUGAGAUGAGUUUUGACACAUUGAAGUGGUUUAAGAAUGUUCAGGAGGAACGGUCUAAGUAUGAUACUCAUGAUUAAAAAUGAUAAGAGAAAACUUAAUAGUUAAACAAACAAACACACUUAUGCAAAAAUAAUUUCAUUUAGCAAAAGAAUAAUAGAAAGAAAGAAAGAAAAAUCAAAUCAGCGAAAAGAAAAAAAAAUCAAUUCAAUUCUGGUGGGUCACUCAAAUUUAUUUCGGUGUUUUCUCCAUGUGCUUGGUACUCUAAAUAUGGCUUUAAUCUUUGACCAUUGACUUUAAACGUGACACCGUUCUUUGGGUCCUUAAUUUCAAUUGCCCCAUGUGGAAAAACAGUAUGAACAAUAAAUGGACCAGACCAACGAGAGCGUAACUUACCUGGGAAUAGGUGCAAACGAGAAUUGAAUAAAAGCACUUUCUGACCUGGAGUGAACGAUUUUCUCAUAAUGUGCUUGUCAUGAAAGACUUUCAUUCAUUGCUUGUAGAUCUUGGCAUUUUCGUAUGCAUUAUUGCGAAUUUCUUCAAGUUCUACCAGUUGUAAUCUUCUUUCUGAGCUGGCAUGCUGCAUAUCAAAGUUGAACUUCUUGAUAGCCCAAUAUGCACGAUGCUCGAAUUCCACAGGUAGGUGGCAAGCUUUUCCAUACACUAGCCUGUAGGGUGACAUCCCAAUCGGGGUCUUGAAAGCCGUUCUAUAUGCCCAUAAUGCAUCAUCAAGUCUUAAUGACCAAUCUUUUCUGUCCGGCCUCACCGUCUUUUCUAAUAUGUGCUUUAUUUCUCGAUUGGAGAUUUCAACUUGGCCACUGGUUUGCGGAUGAUUAGGGGUGGCCACUUUGUGAGUGAUUGAAUACUUUGUCAAAAGUGCUUUAAAUGCUUUGUUACAAAAGUGGGCACCACCAUCACUGAUUAUUGCUCGAGGGAAUCCAAAGCUUGAGACAAUGUUGCUUUUCAAAAAUCCUAUCACCACUUUGUGAUCAUUGGUCCUACAUGGAAUUGCUUCUACCCAUUUCGAUACAUAGUCAACAGCAACCAAUAUGUAUUGAUGGCCAAAAGAAGGGGGAAAGGGUCCCAUGAAGUCGAUACCCCAUACGUCAAAAGUCUCAACCACUAAAAUUGGAUUUAGUGGCAUCAUGUUCCUUCGUGUAAUGCUCCCCAUUCGUUGACACCUAUCACAUGAAGAACAGAAAGUGUAAGCGUCUCGAAAUAUAGUUGACCAAUAAAAACCACAUUGUAAAACUUUAGUCGCUGUUUUCUUAGCACUGAAAUGGCCUCCACAAGCUUGUUCAUGACAAAAUGAAAGGAUAUUCUGAAUUUCACUUUCUGGGACACAUCGUCUAACAAUUUGGUCUGCACAAUACUUGAACAAAUACGGGUCAUCCCAAAAGAAAUUCUUUAUUUCUGCAAAGAAUUUAGCCUUGUCUUGCUUGGUCCAAUGCUCUGGAAAUUUACCUGUAACAAGAUAAUUAACUAUAUCAGCAUACCAAGGUAAUACUUCCACAUUCAUCAAUUGUUCAUCUGGGAAUGACUCAUUUAAUGGUAAUGGCUCUGUAAUUGUGUCAAAAUAGAGACGAGAGAGAUGGUCCGCCACGACAUUUUCUAUGCCUUUCUUAUCUUUGAAUUCCAAGUCAAAUUCCUGCAAAAGUAAUACCCAACGAAUUAGUCUAGCUUUUGCAUCUUUCUUUGUGAGAAGAUAUUUAAGAGCAGCAUGAUCUGUGAAUAUAAUUAUUUUACAACCAAUGAGAUAAGAUCGAAAUUUUUCCAAUGCAAACACUACUGCUAGCAUUUCUUUUUCAGUAGUUGAAUAGUUCAACUGUGCAUCAUUCAAUGUCAUACUAGCAUAGUAAAUAACAUGAGGAAUUCGAUCAACUCUUUGUCCUAAAACUGCUCCUACUGCAUAAUCAGAUGCAUCACACAUGAGCUCAAAUGGUAAGCUCCAGUUUGGGGGCUGAAUGAUGGGUGAUGAUGUCAACAAAUGCUUUAAUUUUUCAAAUGCAACAAGACAUGAAUCAUUAAAGACAAAAGGUACAUCCUUAGCAAGUAGAUUGCAUAAGGGUCUAGAAACUUUACUAAAAUCUUUAAUGAAACGUCUAUAAAAACCAGCAUGCCCAAGGAAAGAUCUUACUUCUCUGACUGUUUUGGGUGGAGGAAGAUUAGAAAUGAGAUCCACCUUGGCUUUGUCAACCUCAAUACCUUUGCUUGAAAUGAUGUGACCGAGAACAAUACCUUGUUUUACCAUAAAAUGACACUUCUCCCAAUUUAAGACUAAGCUCUUCUCGAUACAUCUCUGCAGAACUAAUGUUAGAUGAUGUAAACAUUGAUCAAACGAGUCACCAAAGACAGAAAAAUCAUCCAUAAAGACUUCAAGGAAUCGUUCAACCAUAUCAGAAAAAAUGCUCAACAUGCAUCGUUGGAAUGUAGCAGGUGCAUUACAUAAUCCAAAUGGCAUUCUCCUAUAUGCAAAAGUGCCAAAAGGGCAAGUGAAAGUAGUUUUCUCCUGAUCUUUUGGUGCUAUGGGAAUCUGAUUAUAUCCUGACUAGCCAUCUAGAAAGCAAUAAAAUUCAUGGCCUGCUAUCUAUCAAGCAUUUGAUCAAUAAAUGGUAAAGGAAAAUGGUCUUUACGUGUGACAGAAUUCAACUUUCUAUAAUCAAUGCAUACACGCCAUCCUGUAGUCACUCUAGUUGGUAUCAAUUCAUUAUCGGCAUUCGUAACUACUGUGACUCCUGACUUUUUGGGGACAACUUGUACAGGACUGACCCAUGAACUAUCAGAAAUUGGGUAAAUGAUACAUGCGUCUAAUAGCUUAAGGACUUCUGUUCUAACAACUUCUUUCAUAUUAGGAUUUAACCGACGUUGCAUUUCCCUAGUAGAUUUAGCAUUUUCAUCAAGGUGAAUGUAAUGCAUGCAAUCUACAGGGUCUAUACCUUUUAUGUCUGCUAUGGUCCAUCCUAAUGCCCCUUUGUGCUCUUUUAAAACAUCCAACAACUUACCUUUUUGUUCAUCAUUGAGGGAUGAUGAAAUGAUUACCGGCAAAGUACUUUCUUCCCCCAAAAAUGCAUAUUCCAAAGUGUUGGGUAAUGGUUUGAGCUCGAGUUUCGGUGGUGAUUCUGAUGAUGGGAUGAGUUUCUUCUCUGAUGGUGCUAGUUGUUCAACUCUUGACUUCCAUUUAUUAGUGUCCAUAGAUGGUGCUGAGUCAAGUAGGGCAUUGACCUCUUCGACCGAUCUGUCAAUAUCAAAAUCAAAACCAAAGUGAGUUAAGCAUGUCUGUAAAGGAUCAUCACUAAGGUUUGAAACAAAAGUGUCAUCAACUAAUGCUUCUAUUAAAUCCACAUCAACAAUUCCAUCAUCUGCAUUGUGAGGUUGUUUGGCAAUGUUGAAGAUGUUCAGCUCCAUAGUCAUGUUGCCGAAGGACAACUGCAUAUUUCCAGUCCUACAUUGAAUGUGAGCAUCCGCAGUUGCCAAGAAAGGUCGGCCUAAAAUAAUGGGGAUGUGCUUCCUUGAAUCCUGUAUAGGUUGAGUGUCAAUUACAAUGAAAUCAACAGGAAAAUAAAACUUGUCUACCUGGAUAAGCACGUCCUCCACAAUACCACGAGGUAUUUUCGUGGACCGAUCUGCAAGUUGUAACACCACUGGAGUUGGGUGUAAUUCUCCAAGUCCAAGUUUCACAAACACAGAGUAAGGCAACAAAUUUACACUAGCUCCUAAAUCCAACAAAGCAUUCUCAAUUGUGUGGUUCCCUAUACUACAUGAGAUAGUGGGGGAGCCUGGGUCUUUGCAUUUUAAAGGAAUUUUAUGUUGGAGUAUAGAACUAACGUUUUCUGUUAAAAAUGCCUUCUUUUGAACAUGCAUAUUUCUCUUUUUAGUACACAGGUCUUUAAGAAACUUAGCAUAAGAUGGAACUUGUUUAAUAGCAUCAAGCAAAGGGAUGUUAACACUUACCUGUUUGAAGAUUUCAAGAAUCUCACCUGUCGAUUUUCCCUUCUUUCCUUUAGCUAACCUCUGAGGAAAUGGAGCUUUCGGAACAUAUUCUCGUGGGUUGGUUUCUUUUUUCUCCUCUGGUGAUGAGUCCUCAACAUUCACAGGUACAAUUUGAUUUUCUUUGGUCACCGGCAUCUCCACUUUGUUGUCGACUUCUUUACCUUUUCGCAAGGUCAUGACUGCUUUGACCUCUCCAUGCUGCUGUGGUGAACUGGUACUUGCUUCAUGUACUCCUUUAGGAUUAGGCACUGGUUGACUUGGAAACUUGCCUUUCUCAACAGUCAUUGCCAAGGUCUAAACUGAAGAAGCGAGUUGUCCCACCAUCUUCUCCAGGCUUGAAACUGAUUGAGCUUGUGAGUUGAAGCCUGCUCUCAACUCAUUUCGUAGUCCAUCAAUGGUGCGGUUCUGUUGCUCAAUCGUAGAGUGAGUAACAUUCUUGAAAUUUUGGAAUGCAUCCUCCCAUGGUUUAGGUUGAGAGUAAUUCUGGUUUUGAUUGUAUUGUCUAAAUGGGGGCUGAGAGGCUUGAGGAAUUUGAGGAAUUUGUUGCAUUGGUGGAGCUGGAGCUGCUGGUCCAUUCUGUUGGAAUCCUUGAGACCAUGAAAAAUUGGGGUGGUCUCUCCAUCCAGGGUUAUAUGUGUUGGAGUACGGGUUGUAAUUUGAUGGUUUUCUCAUUACACCUAUAACAUUGGCUUGAUCUGAGUAUGAGUCAGGGUCAUGUGGUUCUGUUGAUUUAGCAGUCGAUAACGAUGCUAUUUGUCGAGCAAGACCCUCAACCAUCUCCUUGACUUCUUUGAUUCCCGAAGUUGACUCGCCAAUUUGAACCUCAUUUACUCCCUUAAUUCUUCUAGUAUUCCUGAGUGAUCGACUCCGUUGUUGGGAAUUAUCCGCUUGUCGCUGGAAGAAUUCCCAAAUCUCUGAUGCACUUUUUGACAUUAGCUCUCCUCCACUUGUUGCCAUUAGCCAUUCUUGCACAUUCGGCAAUAAUCCCUCCAAAAAGUAUUGGUAUUGGUGCCAUUUCUCGUACCCAUGAUGUGGACACUUCAAGAGUAGCCCAUUGAAUCGCUCCCAUGUUUCGAAAAACUGCUCGUCCUCUCUUUGGGUAAACUCUGAAAUUUCCCUGCGAAUAGAAUUAGUUUUAUGCACUGGGAAAUAUUUAUUUAGAAAUUUUGUAACCAUUUGUUCCCAUGAUGCAAUGCUAUUAGCAGGCAAAGUAUUUAACCAUGAACGAGCUCUAUCCUUUAAAGAAAAUGGGAAUAAUCUAAGUUUAACAUCAUCGUCUGAAAAAUUUUCAUAUUUAAAAGUUUGACAAAUGGCAUUAAAAUCAUUCAGAUGAUUAUAUGGGUCCUCAUUUUCUAGGCCAUAGAAUGUGGGGAGACAAUUUAGCACACUAGGUUUUAAUUCAAAACUUCUAGCAGCUACAUUUGGGUAUCUUAUGCAUGAUGUACUCAAAUUAGCUAAGGGACUAAAAUAGUCCUUAAAUGGCCUCUCCUGUGGUGCUUGUAAAUCCAUUCCAAAUUUAUUUUUAAUGUGCUUUUGUGUGCGAAGUGUUUUUUCUAAUUCAAGGUCUAUAGGUUCAAGAUUAGGUAAUAAUGACCUACGACCAUGCAUGCAAAACAAAUAAAAUAAAAAUAAAGAUGGGAACAAAACAAAUAAAAAUAAAGAAGAUGGAGAAAUUACGAUACUAACCUUAUUGCGCUAUUACAACCUUUCUAUAAAAAUACACAAAAAUAAAUACGUGAAAUAAAUUAACUAAAAAUUAAAUUAAUAAAAUAAACAAAAAUUACAAAGAAAAAAUAAAUAAAUUGAAAAUUAAAUUACAGAAUUUUAAAGAAGAGAAAAAGAAAAGAAAUACUAACCUUUAAAUGUAGAUUCACUUUUUUUUUUUAAUAAAAAAUACAAGAAAACAAAUAAAAGAAAUUAUUCACAAAAAUUAAUUCUAUGAAUUAAAAUUACUUACCUUCCCGGCAACGGCGCCAAAAACUUGUUGUGCAAAUUUUAAUGUACUCGCAAGCGCACGAAUCUAUUGUAGUAUAGACUAAUGGUGACGAGUGUCGAUCCCACGAGGAGAUGGAUUUUAAUUGUAUAUAGAAUUAAUUUUGUAAAUGGGUGGUUGGAUUUGUGGUGGAAAUGAUUUGGAAUAUGCUAAAACUUAAAUUAAAAUGGCGAGAAUAAAUUCUGAAAUUGAAAUUGAAAUGACGAGAAUAAAUUGAAGCGAAGAUCUAUUGAAAUGACGUACUUGGGUAUCUGGAUCCGUAUCAACAUGCAUCAUGGGCUAAAUAAUCCGUAUUAAUGCCAAUUAAAUCAUGAGGGGGGAAUCCACACCUCAUGAACCACGCUCUAAUCAAUAUGGUGCUAAGGGCUUAUCGUGCCAAAUAAUAAUAACCUUUGUACUAGAGGGCCGGUGAAACCAAGGCGGUACUAGACAAGAUUAGUAUUAUUUGUCGACGAGAAGUCAAAACAUCCACAAAAAUUAGAGGGGAAGAGAAAGUAAAUUUACCAAAUAAAGCCCAUGACACAUGUUGAGACUUCACCUUCAACCCAAGCUUGAAAGAAAAUUAGCCACUCAUAAUUGAACUAGGGGCAAAAUGGAAAUUUAUUAAAAUACGAAGAAAAUACAAGAUGGAGAGAGAAUUACAGAAAAUGGAUCCCAAAACUGGAUUCAGAGAUAUCAAAUUAGGGGGGGAAGGCCCCCUUUUUAUAGAUACAUGGAGUAAAUCAUGGCCAUCGGAUUAAAAACAGUUUGGACGCUCAGGAUUGCGCCACGUCAUCAGUCAACAGUCCACGGUUUGACCACGCGGAUGAACAGUAACACGGUUUGGUUGAAAAUAAUCCUGUGUGAUGCAUGCACCGUACGCGAGAUUUUUCGUCCACUGAUAUGCUGCCACGUCACCAUCAACAGUACAUAAGAAUUUUAGUCCAACAGGAUCGUGACACCUCAUCAGUCAAUGCCACAUCAUCGGUUAAUGCCACGUCAUCGAUCCGUCUAUGUGAACAGUGUCGUGAAAAGUAACAUAUACAGUACCGUAUACGUGAAUAGUACCGUACAUGUGAAUAGUGCUAUUUUUCCUUUUAUGCUCCUCCUAAGGUUUUCGACCGUCCUGAGUUCAAAAGUGAUGUCCGUUUUGCCGUAUGAUCUCUCCUUUUUUGUGAAAUGACUAUAAUGCCCCUAAAAUACAUAAAAUACUUAAUUAAAAUAAAACACAUGUAAUUAAAUCACAAGAAGGUUAAAUACAUAAAAGUAAGGGUUGUUAGUAAGACUUGAAAUGUAAAAUGACAGAUUUCUCCUUUAUAAAUAUGCAUUUUCUAACACUCAACACUAACUUGUAACACAAUACUCGCAAAAUGGUAAACUUACCAAUUUGAGCCCUGGAAGCAAUUUUCGCUCAGAGAGAAUCCUCAAACCUUGUUAUGACAUGUGGCGAAGUUUGAGAUGCCAUAUUAUCAUUGACUCUUCUCCAUUUGAUGCGACACACGCAUCAGCCUCCUGUAGUGUUUCUCCUUUAAACAUGAAUAGAUUAGCACCGAUCUUUUCUGCCUUCAUCAAUACAAGCACGCCUUUAACGAUCUUCAUAAUUCCAUUCUCCACAUGAGUUUUGUACCCAUGACUAUCCAUUUGUCCCAAAGACAAUAGAUUUUUCUUCAGGUCGUUGACAUGUCGUACCCCCCCCCCCCCAAUUGUGCGAAUUAUACCAUCAAACAUUUUUAUUUUGAUAGUACCAAUAUCAGCGAUCUCCAAGGCAUGAUCAUCUCCUAUAUAUACAAAUCCUCCUGAGAUAGGUUCAUAUGUGUGGAACCAUUCUCUCCGAGAGGUCAUGUGCCAGGUAGCUCCUGAGUUUAUAAGCCAGACAUCAGAUGUCGUUUUCUGCCUUUUGAAAUAGUUGUUGCCUCGCUGUAGAGAAUUUCACCAUCAUCUGAGGUACUUGCUACACACCCUUGAGCAUUUGAUGACUCAGGUUCUUUGCCAUCUCUUCUCUUCUGGUUACUCCAACACUCUUUCUUGAUGUGCCAUUUCUUGCCACAGUUAUAGCAUUUAACAUUCUUCUUACUUCUGGAUUUUGAUCUACCAUGAUUGUGAAUCCCACUAGGGCCACAUUCCGUUGAUCUCCCUCUUGUCACCGAUAGCGCCUUCGCUUGCUGCGAACUUGCUUGUUUGUUUUCCUUAUUUUUCUGCCUGCUCUCCUCAUUUAAUACGGAGGCUGCAACAUCGUCGAAAACUAGAUUGUCUGCUGGAUUGUUGUUCGUCAGGUUGAUGAUGAGUUGAUCAUACGAAUCUGGUAGACUUUGAAGUAGAAGCUCUGCACGUUCAUUUUCCUCUAUAUUAUGACCCAUCGUUGUGAGUUGUGAAAAUAGAGUUUUCAAGGUGUUAAUGUGGUCGGUCACCAUUGUAGAUUCCGCCAUUCAAAGAGCAUAGAGUUUCCUCUUCAAGAAGAUUUUGUUGUGUAGUAACUUGACCUCGUACAAUUUUGUAAGAGUAUCCCAUAUUUCCUUCGCUGUAUUUUUCUCUGCCACACUGGAUAAUACUCCAUCUGCAAGUGCCAAGUGUAGAUCAGAAAUGGCGUUACCAUCUACCUCAUUCCACUUGUCAUCAGUUAUCUCCAUGGGCCUUUCUACAAUUACUGCCAAGCAAUUAUUUUUCCUCAAUACAGCUUUCAUCUUCAUUUUUCACAACGAAAAAUUAUUUCCGUUAAACUUCUCAAUUUCAUACUUUGCCACCAUUUUGUUGAUAAAUACCGCACACAAGCUAGUGUACCACCUUGAAUAGUUGUGAGUAUGUGUGAGAAUGCACAGCAGGAAAGUUCCCAGGAAAGACUGGAGGGGUCACAAUGGUGCCACUUAAAACCCAGACUCCUUAAGCUCUUAUCGCCUUUGUGACAGAACUUUCUUAGACAUGUACAAAACCACACAAUUGUUUUACUCACACCACUAUUCCCUGCUUUGCACCGCAAAAUUAUUGGAUCGCUCCCACCGUUUCACGUGAAUAGUACCAUAUACGUGAACAGUACCAUAUACAUGAAUAGUACCCCUUAUGUGACAGUACCCGACUCUAAAAAUACAACCAAUAGCUUUGAUACCACUGUUAGGAAAUUGGUGGGUGAAGCAGGACUGCAGCUAAAGUAAAAUUGGAAGAAAAAUAAAGAACAAGCACAAUAGAGACACCAGAAAUUACGUGGUUUGCCUUUUAGUCUAUGUUCACGGGCGAAAACAGAAGGAAAAUAUUAUACUAGUGAAAAGGAAUUACAAGUACUGUAGUAUUUUAGCUCACUACCUAAAACCCCAAUACACCCAAACUCUCAAAUCACUAGACUCUUAAAAUCACUCUCUAAAUAAAUAAAAGAACUGAAGAACUCAAUGAUUUACAAAUGAAGGGAGACAACAUUUUUAUAGCCAAAAUUGGCUACUGUUCAUUUAAUAUUUAAUUAUUAUUAUUAUUUUAUUAAUUUUUCUUUUCUUUUCCUUCUUCGGCCUAGCAUCUCUUUUUCUUCUCUCUUUUUUCUUUUUCCUUAUUUUCUUUGGUUUCUUUCUUUGGGCGGUACCUCUCAUUUUUUUUUCUUCUUCAAACUGCUUCGUUUUCCAUUUUCCUUUUCAAGCAUUUCGGUUGGCCCAUUUUCAACAUUUCCAGAAGAGUGGUACCCCAUAUUCAACACAAGAUAAUUUUAUGACCAUCAAUCUUUUGCAGCCAUAUGCAGACUUGAAACACUGUAGUGUCCCUAAGGAACUUGAAAAUUAGAAAGUUUCAGAAUGAGUGACUAAAUAUGAUAAUCGAAACUAAUUUAAUAUACACGCCUUGUAAAUCUGAAACUAAAUUACUCAAAUGUAUAUGCCUCUUCACAGCAAUUGCUCGUGGUGGAAAGUUUACUGCAAAGACUUCCUCAAACCCUUGAAGAUCACACUCUUCCUGGCAACAAAGAAACAGAGUCAAUAUACGAAGAUGAUUUUAUUAACAAGUGAGAGCUUGCAAAUAUUGGAAGGAUAACGAUUAGUCAUAACCCAAAUCCCCAAUGCCUUCUAAUAUCUCACUCACUUGAGUUCAAGCUCCCAAAAUUCACUACAGUGAAACCCUCACAACAAAAUUCUCUUCAAAGAUUCUCUACUCAAAUUUGAUUAAGUUGAUUAGAAUCCUUAACCUGAUAACUUAAACAAAAACAACUUGCCUAAAGUUUAAUAUUUAGAGGCUGAACAGUAAAGAAGAAGAUAUAUAUUGAUACUAAAAUUUGACCUGUAUUAUUCUGACGUAAAAAAUCACGACAUCUCAUAUGGGCAAAAUCUUCACAAUACGAGAUGCUUGCAAAAUUGAAGCAGCAUCUUAUCACCUGUAAUUUAAUUAAGACAAUAACUUUCCCCAACUAUUUCAAUGCAUUAUUGGCAACUAAAUUCAGAGGGCGCUAAUUAAAUAUCCUUUUAAUAAUAUCUUCUUAUUCUUCUCCAAUCUAACAGUUAUUUGGAAAUCUGAAAAGAGGUUCAACAUUUUACAACCAAUAAAAAAUCACUGAACCAUUGGAAAGUGAUUUACGUAUAAUUUUUUUUUUCCAAAUUUUGUCCAAAGUGAUGAAUGAGAUAGGAUGACACAAGAAACAAAUUUAAAUUGACCGCAAGUAGAAAUAUACUUCUGUUAUAUUUGCAACAUCUUCUAGGGUCAAUUGCUUUUCCUUGAGCUCUGUUUCUGCAUGUGCUCAAAUGCAACACACAUACCACAAGAUAUAAUUAUCAACAUGAAUCUUUUGCCGCCAUAUGCAGCACUUAGAAAACUGUUUAUGGCCAUAAAGAACGGGAAAAUCAGAAAUCAUUAACAACGAGAGAAAUCAUUUUAAUCACAGGCAAACAUACACACUAAGAAAAUCUAGAAUUGAAUUUCUCCUAAUGAAUGUGCCUCUUCACAGCAAUUGCACAAGCUAAUCCCAGCAGCCUGCAUCAUCGAGCUUCUCCCAAUGAGUGAGUGAGCCUUGAACAGUUAUCACUUAGCUCAAACUAAAAUGAAAUUAUUGUGGACAUCUGAAUUAAAUAUACAUGUAAAAGGAGUUUUCUCAAAGCAAGGUCAAGAUAAGAGAUUAACUCUGCUCCUUAUUUACAGUAAAAAUAACAAACAAUGAAAAACAGAGCUAGAGAAGAACUUACCUGUGCAUUGAGACCAUGUGGAGAAUGUGAGAUAUCUUCUUAUAUUUGGUUUGAGAAACUCCAUCUUCUUCUGAAAGUUCUGGCAGUUCCCUAAACCCAGGCCAAUACAAUUGCAACAGAAACUGCAUGCUUUAACCAGCAUCUUAUCAUCUCUUCUUAUUUCAAGACAAGAAUAACUUAAUUGCAAGUUUACAACAUUGCGUGAUUCCACCAUUAACCUUUUCAAUUUCAACACUUCUUUUGUCCCCCGCCCGAUGCCCUUUUAAAAAUUCUAUGAAUCAGAUAAAUCAUUCUUCAACCCCAAAUUCCUUCCGAAUCCGUGGAAGCAUUUCAGCCCACAGACGGUUUGCUUUGUCAAUAUACAGCAACUCAGGAUUCUAUAUUUAAACUAUGAUGUUUGAUGACUUGCUGAUGCAAAAAACAUUGCCCCAAGCACUUUUUUACAGGAAUUAAAAUCAAGCCAGUCACUUCCAUUUGUUGCAGUUUUAAUGCAGAAAGAAAAAGGGGCAAAAAAAUCCGCAAGAUGCCACUUGUAAUACCGCAUGUUCGCAAAAGCAGAGUUAAAUAAUUACAAAAUUACAUUCUUGAUUGCACAGAAAUAAUAUAUAGCAAAACAAGCAUAAGGAAAUAACAAUAUAAUUUUACAUUUUUCAGCUUUUGGACUACGUCACAGUCAGAGACGUGAAGAGAAUUUUACUAAGAAAUAAGAGUGUACUAAUAUUAAAGAAAACAUUCACUAAUCGCUAAUAUAUGCUUAAUUUCUCACCCACUAAGAAUGUUCAAUUCACUCAAAUGAAACUUUCACAAGAAAGUCUCAUUAUUAAGGCUUUAGCUUUACUUCACAUGCUCAACAAUUCAAAUUUGAGGAUGAUAUUUCUCAAAAUGGAGGGCUCUAUUUGGCUUGCCAACAAUCUUCCUCACUACUAUCAUCCUUGCUAUACCGGUUGCACUGGACAAUCUUCAUUCUGACAUUUGCCCUGUUAACCUGAGUACACAAGAAUCCAAAACAACUGUUAGAAAUUUUAAUCUUUAUACAUAGCCAAAAUGGUGAAUAAAAUGAUGUACUUGAUAACAAAAACCUGAUUUAAUAAAUAAUUAAGCGGCCGAUAACAAGCACAGAAUCUCAUCGUGUGGGGAAAGCCUUGACAACAGAAGAUGGUGCUUUCAUUCAAGCAAUGAUAACUUUCCAAUUUCAUAAGGUAGCUUAAUGCCCUUUUAAGAAUAUCUGCACCAGCCUGACAAUUAUUGAUGAAAAUUCAAAUUCAGAAUCAUGUUCGUAUGAGAGAUGAAAUGUAAUGAGCAACUUGGCCACCAUGUAUGCAUUUAUCACUUCAAUUUGCUCAUCUUUGUCUAGAUUAUUGCUUAUGCGUUAACUGAAUUAGCGUGCAAGCCACCUGAAAAUGGUUUUAAAUAAUGAGAGUCUGGAUUCGAAUGAAUUAAUCAAAUAUGAUGACAGAAAAUACAAAUGUAAAAUAACCACAAGAAGUAGAAAUAUACUUUUGUUAGAUUUAGAGCAUAAUUCUUCUGUCAAGUUCUUUUCCAUUAGCCUUGUUUCUGUGUGUGCUCAAACGCAAUUCCUCAACACUUAAGAUAGUUUCUGCAGACCUGAAAAACUGGUUGUGGCCCUAAGGAACUUGAAAAUUAGAAAAGAUUCAGAAUGAGUGAAAAUCUAAUUAAACAUACACGCCCUGAAAAUCUGAAACUGAAUUACUCAAAUGAAUAUGCCUCUUCACAGCAAUUGGUUGAAACUUUACUGCAAAGACUUUUUGAAACCCUUGAAGAUAAUACACUACCUGAUAACACAAGGAAACACAAUCAAUAUAAGAAGAUGAUUUUACAAACAAAUGAAAGCUUGCAAUUAUUGAGAGAGCUCUACUCAAAUUUAAUGAGAUAUCUCUCAGAAUGGAGAGCUCUAAUAAUAUAUAAAGCCAAAAAUCUAACACUCAUCAAAUUGGCUUGUGAACAAUUAAUCUUCCUUGCCAUCAUAAAUGCCAGGUAUGGUGAACAAUCUUCAUUCUGACAUUUGCCUUAAUAAGCUGCUUAGUAUCCUUAACCUGAUAACUUACACAAACAAAAACAACUUCACUAAAGUUUAUUCUUUAAAGGCAAAACUGUAAACAAGAUGAUAUAUGCUGAUACAAAAAAAUGACCUAAGUUAUCCUGAUGUCAAGAAUCACAGAACCUCAUGUGGGCAAAAUCAUCGCAAUACAAGAUGCUGAAUUCAAGCAACAUCUUAUCACCUAUAAUUUAAUUAAGACAAUAACUUUCCUCAACUAUUAGCCUUCUCAAUUUCAAUGUAUUAUUGGCAACUAAAUUUAUAGGGGACGUAGCUAAUUAAAUGCCCUUUUAACAAUAUCUUCCCCACCUAACAAUUAUUUGGAAAAUCUAAAUGACAAUCAUGCAUUGAUGGCAUAAAAAAUUGGCCACAAAGCUGCCUAGAAAAAGGCUUUAAAUUCUUAAUGAGACAACGUAUUCGAACAAAUAUGCUGAAUGAAGAGACAAAGGCAUAACACCUCAGGAAGUAAAGCUCUGUUUCUGUAUGUGCUCAAACCAAUGGAAACCCAUGGAAAUGAAUUUCUACAAAUUAGAUAUGUCAGCCAAAACAGGUACUCUAUACAAGCAAAGUAAAAGAGAGUUAACAAAAAAUUUUAAGAUAAUUAAACUUUUAGUCACCAUAUAAUUAAUAGAAAACUUUGUACACAAUGAUUUAUAUGAGAUUAAGAUUGUAUACCUAAGUUUUAAUUGCAAACUAAAUACACACAAAAUGAUAUUAGCAUUAGAAGACUGCACCAAAACGUACCGAAUUGAAUGUACCUCUCAACGGCCAUUUUACAUGCAUUGAAAGUUUACCGCAAAAGCUGUUUCAAACGUGAUGCAUCUUAGAGAUGCAAGAUGAGAAAUUGUUAGUACAACUAGCAUUGAAACAUGUGUGAAAACUGUUAAUGGACCUAAAUAACUUGAAAAUCAGAAAAGAUUAGGAAUGAGUGACUAAGCCUGCUAAUCGCAACUGAGCAAAUUAUUGAAGAAAUAUAUAUCUCAUUUUCUCUUCUUUUAUAAUAGGAUUACAUAAUACAUUUAUAGAUUCUAAACUACAUAACGUGCAAGAGUAGGAAAGUAAACAACUGCAGACCAAGAAACUAGGAAACAAACUCUAUCAAAAAACUGAAAUUCUAUCCCUAUCUUUUUUCUUUUCUAUCCCUAUCUUUUUUCCUUAAAAAUAGGAUAGAAAACAUGUGACUUUUCCACACUCCCCCUCAAGCUGGUUCGAAAAUAUCAAUCAUUCCUAGCUUGCUAGUUAGUGACUCAAAGCUUGAUUUAUGGAGUCCUUUAGUAAGAAUAUCGGCUAGCUGCUUUAUUGUUGGAAUAAAGGUCAUGCAUAUCAAACCACUUUCUAUUUUCUCCUUGAUAAAAUGACGAUCCACUUCAACAUGUUUAGUUUUGUCAUGAUGAACAGGGUUAUGAGCAAUGUUUAUUGCUGCCUUGUUGUCACAAUACAACUUCAUAGGAACAUCAAUAAUAAUCUUUAAUUCUUCAAGUAGCUUCUUUAACCAAAAAAGUUCAAAAAUACCAUGUGCUACUGCUCUAAAUUCAACUUCGGCACUACUUCUUGCAACCACUGAUUGCUUCUUACUCCUCUAAGUUACCAAGUUUCCUCCCACAAAUGUGCAAUACCCUGAAGUUGACCUUCUAUCAAUAACAGAUCCAGCCCAAUCUGCAUCAGUAGAUACUUCAACUUGCAGAUCGUUAUUUUUCUUGAAUAGCAGACCUUUUCCUGGAGUUUUUUUCAGGUACUUAAGAACCUUGUAAAUAGCUUCCAAGUGCUCUUUACAUGGAGAGUGCAUAAAUUGACUAAUAACACUUACUGCAAAGGCUAUGUCUGGCCUAGUAUGAGACAAGUAUAUCAACUUACCAACCAACCUUUGGUAACUUUCUCUAUCCACUGAUUUUCCUUCAAUUGCAUAUCCCAAUUUGUGAUAAGGAUCAAUAGGAGUGUCUCCAGGUUUGCAUCCCAACAUGCCAGUUUCCUUGAGCAAGUCUAAAGUAUAUUUCCUUUGAGAAACAAAAAUGCCUUUACUGGAUCUUGCAAUUUCCAUGCCCAAAAAGUAUCUUAAGGGUCCAAGAUCCUUUAUCUCAAAUUCUCUAGCAAGAACCUUCUUGAGAUUUUCCAUUUCUAUUACAUUGCUUCCAGUCAAGAUGACACCGUCUAUAUAUACAAUGACGAUCACAACACUACCAUCAGUGAAGUGUUUAAAAAACAUUGUAUGAUCUGCUUGACUCUGUAAAUAUCCAAAGCUACAAACAGAUUUGGUAAAUCUAUCAAACCAAGCUCGAGGAGAUUGUUUUAAGCCGUAAAGUGAUCUCUUCAGCUUGCAAACUUUUUCAAUACCAUAUUCAUUCUCAAAACCUGGUGGUAGAUCCAUAUAUACCUCCUCUUCAAGCUCUCCAUUAAGGAAUGCAUUCUUAACAUCUAACUAUUGUAAUUGCCAUCCUAGGCUUGCUGCAAGAGACAACAAAACCCGAAUGGAAUUCAUCUUUGCCACGGGAGCAAAUGUUUCUUGGUAGUCAAUGCCGUAUGUUUGUGUAAAACUUUUCGUGACGAGCCUAGCUUUGUACCGCUCAAGUGACCCAUCUGCUCUGUAUUUAACUGUAAAAAUCCAUUUGCAACCCACUGGUUUUUUUCCUUCUGGUAACUUGACUAGUUCCUAAGUUUUUUUUUUUCUAGAGCUCUCAUCUCUGCAUACACAGCAUCUCUCCAUUCUGGAAUAGAAAGAGCAUCUUGUACAGAUUUUGGAAUUACUAUAACAGACAGGUUAGCUGUAAAAGCUCUAAAAAAUGGAGAUAAUCUAUGAUAUGACACAUACUUAGAAAUUGGAUGAAGAGUACAAGACCUAGUUCCUUUCUGUUGUGCAAUUGGAACAUCUAGAUCAUUUGUAGUUUCUAAAACAGAUUCUAAAAUGUUACCGGCAAGUUCCAAGUUGCCUGUGUUUGGAUCCGAGUCUUGGCAGUGAGGAGAGGAAUGAUGAUUUGACCUUUUCGAAUUUCGUCGUGUGUAGACUUAAAGCUCUGGUUCUAGAACUCUCUCUAAUGAUUUUUCAUUAUUCACAAUUGAUGGCAUUGUAGAAGGAACACGAGUUACACAAGACAUAAUAGGCAUUGGAAGAGAAAAUUCCCAAAAAUGAUCUUCCUGAGUAUGAUCCUCCCCCUGAAGAGAAGUGUUGAGUGUUAGAAAAUGUAUAUUUAUAAGGAGAAAAUCAUCAUUUUACACUUCAAGUUUUACUAACACCCUUACUUUUAUGUAUUUAACUUUCUUUUGAUUUAAUUCCGUGUGUUUUAUUUUAAUUAAGUAUUUUAUAUAUUUUAGGGGCAUCAUAUAUAUUUCACAAUGAACGAGAGAUCAGACUGCAAAACAGACAUCAAUUUUGAAUUCAGGACGGUCAAAAACCUUAGGAGGAGCAUAAAAGGAAAAAUGGCACUAUUCACAUGUACGGUACUAUCUACGUUACUGUUAACGAUAUUGUUCAUAAAGACGGAUCGAUGACGUGACAUUAACCGAUGAUGUGGCAUUGACUGAUGAGGUGCCACGAUCCUGUUGGACUAAAAUUCUUAUGCACUGUUGAUCGAUGAUGUGGCAGCAUAUUAGUGGACCAGAAAUCUCGCGUACGGUACAUGCAUUACACGGGAUUAUUUUCAACCAAACCGCGUUACUGUUCAAGCCGGGUCAAACCGUGUUACUGUUCACCCGCGUGGUCAAACCGCGUACUGUUGACUGAUGACGUGGCGCAAUCUUGAGCGUCCAAACUGUUUUUAAUCUAAUGGCCAUUAUUUACUCCAUGUAUCUAUAAAAAGGAGGCCUCCCCCCCUAAUUUGAUAUCUCUGAAUCCAUUUUUGGGAUUCAUUUUCUGUAAUUCCUCCAUCUUGUAUUUUCUAUGUAUUUUAAUAAAUUCCUAUUUUGCCCCUAGUUCAAUUAUGAGUAGCUAAUUUUCUUUCAAGCUGGGGUUGAAGGUGAAGUCUUAACAUGUGUCAUGGCUUAAUUUCGUAAAUUUAUUUUCUUCUCCCCUCUAAUUUUUGUAGAUGAUUUGACUUUUCGUCGACAAAUAAUAAUAAUCUUGUCUAGAUACCGUCUUGGUUUCACCGGCUCUCUAGUAUAAGGUUAUUAUUAUUUGGCACGAUAAGCCCUUAAUACUAUAUUGAUUAGAGUGUGGUUCAUAAGGUGUAGAUUCCCCCCUCAUGAUUUAAUUGGUAUUAAUAAAGAAUAUUUAGCCCAUGGUGCAUGUUGAUACGGAUCUAGAUACCCAAGUACGUCAUUUCAAUAGAUUUCUCUUCAAUUUAUUCUCGCCAUUUCAAUUCCAAUUUUAGUAUAAUCUAAGUCAUUUUCACCCUAAAUCCAACCACCCAUUUAGAAAAUUAAUUCUACACACAAUUAAAAUCCACCUCCUCGUGGGAUCGACACUCGUCACCAUUAAUCUACACUACAAUAGAUUCGUGCACUUGCGAGUUCAAUAAAAUUUGCACAACAAGUUUUUGGUGCCGUUGCCGGGGAGGUAAGUUAUUUUAAUUUGUAGAAUUAAUUUUUGAGAAUAAUUUCUUUUAUUUGUUUUCUUGUAUUUUUUUCUUAUAAAAAAAAGAAAAAUAAAAAUGAAUCGACAUUUAGAGGUUAGUAUUUCUUUUCUUUUUCUCUUCUUUAAAAUUAUGUAAUUUAAUUUUCAAGUUAUUAUUUUUUUCUUCUUUGUAAUUUUUGUUUAUCUUACUAAUUCUUUUUAAUAAAUUUAUUUUACGUAUUUUUUUGUGUGUUUUUAUAGUAAGGUUGUAAUAGCGCAAUAAGGUUAGUAUCGUAAUUUCUCCUUCUUUUUUUAUUUUUAUUUGUUUUGUUCUCAUCUUUAUUUUUAUUUUAUUUGUUUUGCAUGCAUGGUCCAAGGUCAUUAUUACCUAAUCUUGAACCUAUAGACCUUGAACUUGAAAAAACACUUCGCACACACAAACAAGUCAAAAAUAAAAUGGAUUUGCAACCACAGGAGAGGCCAUUUUAGGACUAUUUUAGUCUCUUAGCUAAUUUGAGCACAUCAUACAUAAGAUACUCAAAUGUAGCUGCUAGGAGUUUUGAACUAAAAUUUAGUGUGCUAAAUUGUCUCCCAACAUUCUAUGGCUUAGAAAAUGAGGACCCAUGUAAUCAUUUGAAUGAUUUUCAUGCUAUUUGUCAAAAAUUUAAAUAUGAGAAUUUUUCAGAUGAUGAUGUAAAACUUAGACUAUUCCCAUUUUCUUUAAAGGAUAGAGCUCGUUUGGCUUAAUACAUUGUCUUCCAAUAGUAUUUCAUCAUGGGAACAAAUGGUACCAAAAUUUUUGAAUAAAUAUUUCUCAGUGCAUAAAACCAAUGCUAUUCGUAAGGAAAUUUCAGAGUUUACCCAGAGAGAAGACGAGCAGUUUUUCGAAACAUAGGAGAGAUUCAAUGGGCUACUCUUGAAGUGUCCACAUCAUGGGUACGAGAAAUGGCACCAAUGCCAAUACUUUUUGGAGGGAUUAUUGCCGAAUGUGCAAGAAUGACUAAUGGCAACAAGUGGAGGAGAGCUAAUGUCAAAAAGUGCAUCAGAGAUUUAGGAAUUCUUCCAGCGACAAGCGGAUAAUUCCCAACAACGGAGUCGAUCACUCAAGAAUACUAGAAGAAUUAAGGGAGUGAAUGAGGUUCACAUUGGCAAGUCAAGUUCAGAAAUCAAAGAAGUCAAGGAGAUGAUUGAAAGUCUCGCUCGACAAUAGCAUCGUUAUUGACUGUUAAAUCAACAAAGCCACAUGACCAUGACUCAUACUCAGAUCAAGCCAAUGCCAUAGGUGUAAUAAGAAAACCAUCAAAUUACAACCCAUACUCCAACACAUAUAAUCCUGGAUGGAGAGACCACCCCAAUUUUUCAUGGUCUCAAGGAUUCCAACAGAAUGGACCAGUAGCUCCAGCUCCACCAAUGCAACAAAUUCCUCAAGUUUCUCAAGCCUCUCAGCCACCAUUUAGACCAUACAAUCAAAACCAAAACUACUCUCAACCCAUACUAUGGGAGGAUACAUUCCAGAAUUUCAAGAAUGUUACUCACUCCACGAUUGAGUAACAGAACCGCACCAUUGAUGGACUACGAAAUGAGUUGAGAGCAGGCUUCAACCCACAAGCUCAAUCAGUUUCAAGCCUCGAGAAGAUGGUGGGACAACUUGCUUCUUCAGUUCAGACCUUGGCAAUGACUGUUGAGAAAGGCAAGUUUCCAAGUCAACCAGUGCCUAAUCCUAAAGGAGUACAUGAAGCAAGUACCAGUUCACCACAACAGCAUGGAGAGUAAAAGCAGUCAUGACCUUGCGAAAAGGAAAAGAAGUCAACAACAAAGUUGAGAUGCCGGUGACAAAAGAAAAUCAAAUUGUACCUGUGAGUGUUGAGGACUCAUCACCGAAUGAGAGAGAAGAAACCAAACCACGAGAAUACAUUCCGAAAGCUCCAUUUCCUCAGAGGUUAGGGAAGGAAAGAAGGGAAAAUCCACAGGUGAGAUUCUUGAAAUCUUCAAACAGAUAAGUGUUAACAUCCCUUUACUUGAUGUUAUAAAGCAAGUUCCAUCUUAUGCCAAAUUUCUUAAAGACCUUUGUACUAAAAAGAGAAACAUUCAUGUUCAAAAGAAUGCAUUUUUAACAGAAAACGUUAGUUCUAUACUCCAACAUAAAAUUCCUCUAAAAUGCAAAGACCCAGGCUCCCCCACUAUCUCAUGUAGCAUAUGGAACCACACAAUUGAGAAUUCUUUGUUGGAUUUAGGAGCUAGUGUAAAUCUGUUGCCUUAGUAUUUUUGAAACUUGGACUUGGAGAAUUACACCCAACUCCAGUGGUGUUACAGCUUGUAGAUCGGUCCACGAAAAUACCUCAUGGUAUUGUGGAGGACGUGCUUAUCCAAGUAGACAAGUUUUAUUUUUCUGUUGAUUUCAAUGCAAUUGACACUCAACCAAUCCAGGAUUCAAGGAAGCACAUCCCCAUUAUCCUCGGCCGACCUUUCUUGGCAACUGCGGAUGCUCACAUUCAAUGCAGAACUGGAAAUAUGCAGUUGUCCUUCGGCAACAGGACUAUGAAACUGAACUUCUUCAACAUUGCCAAACAACCUCACAAUGCAAAUGAUGAAAUUGUUGAUAUGAAUUUAAUUGAAGCAUUAGUUGAUAACACUUUUCUUUCAAACCUUAGUGAUGAUCCUUUACAAACAUGCUUAACUCACUUUGGUUUAGAUUUUUAUAUUGACAGAUCGGUCGAUGAGGUUAACGCCCUACUUGACUCAGCACCAUCCAUGGACACUAAUAAAUGGAAGUCAAGAGUUGAGCAACUAGCAUCAUCAGAGAAGAAACUCAUCCCAUCAUCAGAAUCACCACCGAAACUCGAGCUCAAACCAUUGCCCAACACUUUGGAAUAUGCAUUUUUGGGAGAAGAAAGCACUCUACCGGUAAUCAUCUCAUCAUCUCUCAACGAUGAACAAAAAGGUAAGUUGUUAGAUGUUUUAAAAGAGCACAAAGGAGCAUUAGGAUGGACUAUAGCAGACAUCAAAGGUUUUCAAGACCCCGAUUGGGAUGUCACCCUACAGGCUAGUGUAUGGAAAAGCUUGCCACCUACCUGUGGAACUCGAGCAUCGUGCAUAUUGGGCUAUCAAGAAAUUCAACUUUGACAUGCAGCAAGCCAGCUCAGAAAGAAGAUUACAGCUGGGAGAACUUGAAGAAAUUCACAAUGAUGCAUACGAAAAUGUCAAGCAACGAAUGAAAGUCUUCCAUGACAAGCAAAUUAUGAGAAAAUCAUUCACUCCAGGUCAGAAUAUUUGUGUGCUUUCUGGAUUUAACUAUGGCAAACAUAAAGAAUUCGUUGAGGCAGCCAUAGAUCUUGGCCGAAGCAUAGUAGAGAGAAAAUUACACUUGGUGUAUGGAGGAGAUAACCGAGGGUUAUCAAAAUUGGUCUCAGAAACUGCUUUUAUCAGAGGUAGCCAAGUGUUAGGCAUCAUCCCAAAAGCCCUAAAACUUUUGGGCAGUUUGAUUGACUCAUCGAUUGGAGAAGAGUUAGUCGUCUCAGAUAUGCAAGAACAAAUAACUAAAAUGCUUAAUCAUGCUUAUGCUUUUAUUUUCCUUCCAGAAGAUCCUGCAACACUAGAGGCACUUAUCACACUAGCAUUUUGGGCCCAUCUGCACAUUCACUAGAUACCCAUCGGUUUGUUAAAUGUCAAUAACUUUUAUGAUGGCUUCAUCGCAUUUCUUAGCCAUGCAAUAAAAAAUUAUUUCAUUCCUUCCAAUGUGAAAAAAUUUUUUAUUUGUGCUCACACUGCUAAUGAGCUACUUGAUCUGUUACAAGCUUAUAGACCGGAGCCAGACCCCUGGACCUUUGUGUUGGAGCGUCCAAAUAAUGAUGGUAACAGUAGCCGCAGUAAUUAGUAUUAAAAAUUGUUUAAUUAUCAAGCGAUAAUAUGUUAUUUUAUGCUUAUGUUAUAAUUUAUAUUUGUGUUUAUGUAAUAUAUUAUGAAUUAUUAAUUAUGUGUUCAAUAUAUUUAAUUUUGUGUAUUUUUAUGUGUUUAUUAGGAAAAUAUUAAUUUCACGUACUUCGAGGCUCCAAACAAAUAAACGGAGGUCAAAUUUAGAUUUCAGAGGUUCGAAAACCUUAAGAUCAGUCAAGAUCGGCUUAAAAUUGGGCUUGUGUAAAAAAAAGUUGACUUUUCCUGUUGACCGAGCACUGAUUGGAUGAUGAAAUGAGCUUACAAUAGAUAUGAGUGCAUGGGAUAGCUGGCAAUCUUGACUAAAUCUCAACCGUUCAUGAUUCAAUGGUCAUGAUUGUGCCCCGUGGCAAUGGUUGGUGAAGCAAGUUGGAGGAUCCGAAUCUUUGUAUUCGGGUCGACCCGAUCCACCCAUUAACCCGCCAAAUCUCAACCGUUCUUUGGGCAAAUCGGACGAGUCAAAUGAUACCACGUGUGAUGUUGACUUUUGAAGUUUGAGCAGCCAUUGGAUCUUGAUCUAAGGGUUGUGAGGAGCACAUGCAUGAAGCCUAUGAUGGACCGCAAAGCACUGGAUUAUGAAUUUAUUUUUCUAUAAAUAGAGCCUUAUUUUUAUGUUUUAAUCAUCUCUCUACAACUCUCUUCUUCUCAAAUUAUCUCCAUCUCCUUGUAAUCUUGAUUUCCAGGUGUGUUUUUAAUAUUUUAUAUAAUUAUUUUUAUAAAUAAAAUUAGUUUUAUUUCCAAUUUUAGUUGUUUUUAUUUCUUUUAAUUAUAAGUAAUUCAAUUUUAUUACUUCUUUUUAUUUUAAUUAUGCUUAACUAAAUAAUAUUAAUUAGGGGAAGGUGAAACUCUUAGGAAAUAAAUAUGAUUUAAGCAAAUUCUAUUCUUAAUUUUAUAAAUUAAAUUAUUUUCUAUUUAAUUUUAUACAUAUUUUAUAUUUUGAAAUUUUGAUUUAUUGUAGACAAACAAAUGAAUUUGGCACAAUAAAUUCUUAAUAUCUUAAUAUAAGGUAUGGUAAAAUGGUAUUUUGACUUAUUGUAGACAAAUUAAAUUUUGGCACAAUAAAUACUUAAUCCAUCAUAAAAUUAAAGGGAAAAUAACAAUAAUUUAUAUAAUUAAUCUUUUGGGCAAUAAUGUAAAAAAAAAGGGCAAAAAGAAUUUAUUAAGUUUUAUUUACUUCUAAGAGUUGAUCCAUAACCCUAACUAGUUCAAUUUCAUAGUUUCAUUUAAAUUAAGUUUUUUGUAUUUAAGUUUUAAUUUCAAUUUUUAGUUAAAAUAAAGUAAACUAAUUAAAUCUUUUCUCUGUGGAUCGACCUCGAACUCACCGAGUUAUAAUACAACAAGACACUUUUAUACUUGAGAGUUAAAAAUUACUUUUAAGUUGUGUCAAGUUUUUGGCGCCGUUGCCGGGAAAAGUUUUUAUUUUGCUUUAUUUUUUUGGUUUUUGAUUUUUCUCUUUAUGUAAAUUUUCGUUUGUCCCCUUUUUUUUUCUUAAAUUCUCUUUUGUCCUCAUAUCUUUCAUAAUUCUCGUUUCACCCCAACAAGCCCAUUUCUAGCCCAAUUUCUAGUAAUUACAUUCUGACCCCAACAUCUUUCAGUCGUUUCAUUUUCAUCCCAAAUUGCUAAUUCUAAACUUCUAAAAAUUACAAUUUGACCAUAAAAUUAAAAAUAAUUUGCAAUAGAAUCCCUAGACGAUUCCUCAAAAUAAUUAAGACUUGGACAUACUUUGGACAUAUUUGGACUUAUUUUGGACUUAAUUUGGACCAAACUAACUUUAACUACUAACUCUAAUUACUAACUCUUAACUUACUAACUGCUAACUCCUAACUUUUUUUUAAUUUCAUUUAUUUAAUUUUCUGCAUUUAUUUUAUUUCGUAUUUAUUUGUUUAUUUUUGCUUUAUUGGUGGGUUUAACCACCAAACUAACUACUAACUACUAACUCUUAACUUUUAUUUUCAGUUAUUUAAUUUUAAGAAUUUAUUUAAUUUUGCUUUUUUUUUAAUUGGUGGGUUCAACCACCAUUUUUUUUCUUUUUCUUUUUCUUUCUCUUGCAUUUAUUUUAUACGUAAUUUAUUGUUAAUUGGUGGGUUCAACCACCAAAAUUGUUAUUUAAUUUUCUUUUGUACACUUAUAUUAUUUGCUUAUUUUUUAUUUAUUUUUUUAUUUUAUUAUCAAUUUGUGUAAAUAUUAUCUUUAUAACAUAACCAUUGCAUGAGGCGUUGGUCUCGAUCUUCAAGUGAGAAUCAAGGAUGGAUGAGAAUCAAGGCGAAAACGUUUUGGGCAAACUUAAUCCUCAAAUUGAUCAGGGAGACAACCAAUCUCAACAUGGGCAUGAUCAGAAUCAACCAAGGACUCUGAGAGACUACAUGAAUCCAACCAGAACCGGAGCACCGUCGUGUAUAGUAUUUCCUCCAGAAGCAUCUCGAUUUAAUUUUAAACCAGGUAUUAUCCAACUUUUACCAACAUUUCAUGGUUUAGAAUCUGAGAAUCCGUACUUGCAUCUAAGAGAUUUUGAGGAAGUUUGUAAUACAUACACGGACCAAAAUUGUAGCAUGAACAUAAUUAAAUUAAAACUUUUUCCUUUUUCAUUAAAAGAUAAAGCUAAAACUUGGCUACAAAACCUUAGAUCUGGAUCAGUAAGAACUUGGAAUAACAUGUAAGAACAGUUUUUGAAAAAAUUCUUUCCACCUCAUAGAACAAAUUCUUUUAAAAGGCAAAUCACUUCUUUCACUCAAAAAAAUGGAGAAACAUUAUACCAAUGUUGGGAUAGGUUUAAAGAGUUGCUUAACAUAUGCCCACAUCAUGGUUUUGAAACUUGGCGAUUGGUCACUUACUUCUACGAGGGCUUAAUACCCCAAAGUAGACAGGUUGUUGAAAUGAUGUGUAAUGGUGAAUUUAGGGAUAAAAAUCCUGAAGAUGCACUAGAUUACCUUGACCAAUUAGUUGAAAAUGCACAACAUUGGGAUACUGUUGGAACUUUUGAAUUGACAAAUAAGCAACAAUUAUCUCCAUCUAGUGGAGGAAUCCAUAACCUUAGGGAAGAUCAUGAUUUACAAGCAAAAUUUGCAUCCCUAGUUAGGAAAGUUGAAGCUUUGGAGUAUAAAAAGAGUGAUCAAGUAAAAUAUGUUCAAGAAAUUAUAUGUAACAUAUGUAAUUCGAAUGAUCAUUUCACUCAAGAGUGUCCCACUUUGCCUGCACUUAAAGAAUGUCUAAAUGAUCAAGCUAAUGUCAUUAACACUUUCAAUAAACCAAACCCAUAUUCACAGACUUAUAAUCCUGGUUGGAGAAAUCAUCUGAAUUUCAGUUGGAGGAAUAAUAAUAAUGCACAAUCUUCACAAGCACCACCUCUACAAAAUUUUCAAAAUCCUCAGCCUUAUGCACCAUAUGUUCCACCACCCUGGAAAAAUCUGGAAGACACAAUACAUUUAUUCAUCAGAAAGCAAGAUGUUAUUAACAAUCAAAAUGCACAAACUUUUUCUGAUUUGAAAGAUACUCUUGCUAAAAUUGCUUCUGCACUCACCAUUCAAGAAAAAGGAAAAUUUCCAGCCCAACCACAACCAAAUCCUAAAAUUCAACAAAAUCCACUCACAGACCAAGUCAAGUCAGUUAUAACUCUUCGUAGUGGUAAGGUUGUUGAUAGACCUAUGCCUGAACCUUAUGAAAAUGAUGAAAAUUCAAAGGGUAAGGAAGGACUAAAUGAACUUACACCUAGUGAAGAAAUAACUAGUGUUCCAUCUGAACCACCAUUUCCGCAUGCAUUGAAUAAACCAAAGAAAUCAAACCACUCUUUUGAAAUUUAUGAAAUCUUUAAGCAAGUGAAAGCUAACAUUCCUCUAUUAGAUGCAAUCAAGCAGGUUCCUUCAUAUGCCAAAUUUUUAAAGGACUUGUGCACUAUUAAGAGGAAAUUGAAGGUAAGAAAGAGUGCUUUCAUGGCCGAACAGGUAAUUACAAUUUUGUUUACUAAUAAUAAGUUGAAAUAUAAAAGAUCCUGAUUGUCCUACUAUUUCUUGUAUUAUUGGUAACCACAUAAUUGAGCAUGCUUUACUAGAUCUUGGUGCUAGUGUUAAUUUACUUCCAUAUUCAGUUUAUCUUCAACUUAAUCUUGGUGAGUUAAAAUCAACUUCAACUACAUUUUUACUUGCCGAUAGAUCAGUUAAAGUACCAAAAGGAAUAGUGAAAGAUGUUUUAGUAUAAGCUGAUAAAUUUAUUUAUCCUGUGGAUUUUAUUAUCUUGGAAACUGAACCUGUUGUGAAUAAUUACAAACCAAUUCUUGUAAUUUUAGGUCGACCAUUUUUAGCAACUGCUAAUGCUUUGAUUAAUUGUAGGAAUGGUUUAAUGAAUUUAUCCUUUGGGAAUAUGACUUUGGAAUUGAAUGUUUUCAACAUGUGCAGGCAACCUAAUGAAGAAAAUAAGAAUGAAGAUGAUACUGAUGAACAAAAGGAAUUGUUUGAAUCUUGUAUCGAGGAAAAUAUUCAAAAAGGGGAUUUUUCUAAACUCUCAAAUGUUUGUUUAGUUAAUUCAAUUGAGUCAAAUAAGCAACUUGAACUUAAUAUUUCUAAUAUAAAUUCGUUGCUUGAUUCUGUGCAGACUUCACAAAAUUAUGAUGACGAGCCAAAAUUUGAGGAGCUUGGAAGUAUUGAAAAGACAGAACAACAAGAAGUGCCUAAAAUGGAAUUGAAACAUUUGCCUGAAGGAUUGAAAUAUGCUUUUCUUGGAGAAGAACAAACUUAUACUGUUGUGAUUUCUUCUAUUUUAACAAGCGACCAAGAAGGUAAGUUACUAAAUGUUCUUAAAAAGUAUAAAAAUGCAAUUGGAUGGACUUUAAAUGAUAUUAAAGGCAUUAAUCCCCUAAUCUGCACUCAUAGAAUUAAUUUGGAAGAAAAUGCUAAAACAUGUCAACAACCUCAAAGAAGAUUAAACCCACACAUGAAAGAGGUAGUCAAAACAGAAGUCUUUAAAUUGCUUGAUGUGGGAAUUAUCUACCCUAUUCUUGAUAGUAAGUGGGUAAGUCCUACACAAGUAGUGCCAAAAAAAUCUAGAAUCACUGUUGUUAAAAAUGAAAAAGGUGAAUUAAUUCCAAUACGAAUUACAUCUAGUUGGCGCAUGUGCAUUGACUAUAGAAAAUUAAAUGAAGCCACUAGAAAAGAUCAUUUUCCAUUACCAUUCCUUGACCAAAUCUUAGAAAGAGUAGCAGGACAUCCCUACUACUGUUUUUUAGAUGGAUAUUCGGGCUAUUAUCAAAUUCCUAUAGCACUCGAGGACCAAGAAAAGACCACAUUUACAUGUCCAUUUGGAACAUUUGCAUUUAAAAGAAUGCCAUUCGGGCUUUGUAAUGCUCCUGCAACAUUUCAAAGAUGUAUGUUAAGCAUUUUUUGUGAUAUGGUUGAACAUUGUUUAGAGGUCUUUAUGGAUGAUUUGAUUGUGUUUGGGAAUUCUUUUAAUGAUUGCCUCGAUAAUUUGGAUAAAGUUUUAAAAAGAUGUGUUGAAAAAGAACUCGUGUUGAAUUGGGAAAAAUGUCACUACAUGGUUACUUCUGGAAUUGUUUUGGGUCAUGUUGUUUCUAUUAAAGGAAUUGAAGUUGACAAAGCAAAAAUCGAAGUCAUAUCUAAAUUGCCACAACCAAAAACAGUUAGAUAUGUGCGAUCUUUUUAGGACAUGCAGGAUUUUAUAGGAGGUUUAUAAAAAACUUUAGUGCCAUAUCUAAACCACUUUAUAACCUCUUAUUAAAAGAUGCAUCGUUUGAAUGGAAUGAUGAUUGCCAAAAAUCUUUUGAAAAAAUAAUUUGUCUUUUAACAUUUGCACCUAUUAUGCAAUCUCCUAAUUGGUCUUUGCCAUUUGAAUUAAUGUGUGAUGCAAGUGAUUUUGCUGUUGGUGCUGUUUUAGGACAAAGAAGGGAUGGUAAGCUUUUUGUGAUUUAUUAUGCGAGUAAGACUUUGGAUAGUGCUCAAAUGAAUUAUUCUACAACUGAAAAAGAAUUACUUGCUGUGGUAUUUAUAUUAAACAAAUUCCGUUCAUAUUUGCUUGGCUCUAAAUCUGUUGUGUUUACUGACCACGCUGCUGUGAGAUAUUUGAUGAGUAAACAGGAUGCCAAACCGAGACUAAUUCGUUGGAUUUUGUUACUACAAGAAUUUGACCUUACCAUCAAAGAUAAAAAGGGUGCUAAAAAUGUUGUUGCUGAUCAUCUAUCAAGACUCGCAUAUGAAUUCUGCAAUGAUAUAACACCUAUAAAUGAUUCUUUCCUUGAUGAAUUUUUAUUUUCUGUUACUUCAAUGCCAUGGUAUGCUAAUAUUGUUAAUUUUCUUGUUAUAGGUAAAAUACCUUUGCAAUGGAAUGCUCAAGAGAAGAAGAAAUUUUUUGUUGAAGUAAAGAAAUUUUAUUGGGAUGACCCUUAUUUGUUCAAGUAUUGCCCAGAUCAAAUUUUUCGGCGAUGUAUUCCUGAUAAUGAGAUAAGUAGUGUCAUUAAUUUUUGUCAUUCUAAAGCAUGUGGUGGUCACUUUUCUUCAAGAAAAACUACUGCUAAAAUUUUACAGUGUGGAUUAUUAUUGGCCUACUAUGUUUAAAGACACAUAUGAAUUCUGCAAAAGUUGUGAAAAAUGUCAAAAAUUGGGAUCAAUUACAAAAAGAAACAUGAUGCCCUUAAAUCCCAUACUUGAAAUUGAAAUAUUUAACUGUUGGGGAAUUGAUUUCAUGGGUCCAUUUCCAUCAUCUUUUAGAUUUGUGUAUAUAUUAAUUGCAGUUGAUUAUGUCUCAAAAUGGAUUGAAGCAAUUUCUUGUCGAAAUAAUGAUAUUAAAACUGUGAUUAAAUUUUUAAGAGAAAACAUUUUAAGUCGAUUUGGAAUCCCUCAAGCCAUUAUCAGUGAUGGAGGUAAGCAUUUCUGUAAUAAGUCAUUUGAGUCUUUAAUGAAGAAAUAUGAAAUUACACAUAAAAUUGCUACCCCUUAUCAUCCUCAAACAAAUGGUCAAGUUGAAUUAGCAAAUAGGGAGAUAAAACAAAUUUUGGAAAAAACAGUUAACCCAAACCGAAAAGAUUGGUCUCUUAGACUUAAUGAUGCACUUUAGGCUUACCGUAUUGCAUUUAAAACGUCAUUAGUAAUGUCACCCUAUCAGUUAGUUUAUGGUAAACCUUGUCAUUUACCUGUUGAACUUGAACAUAAAUCACUUUGGGCUAUUAAAGCUUUUAAUUCAAAUUUGGAUGAUGCUGGUAAUGUGCGAAAAUUGCAAUUGAAUGAACUUGAGGAAUUAAGGAAUGAUGCAUAUGAAAAUUCAAGAAUUAUUAAGGCAAGAAUAAAAGCAUUUCAUGAUAAAAGAAUUUUUCGAAAAACAUUUGAGAUUGGUCAAAAAGUGUUGCUUUAUAAUUCUCGUCUUCAUUUAUUUCCAGGGAAGUUAAAGUCAAAAUGGAAUGGUUCAUUUGUUGUAAAAAAUGUAUAUUCACAUGGGGCCAUAGAAAUUGAGAAUCCAAAGAAUGGUGUCACAUUUAAAGUUAAUGGUCAAAGAUUAAAAUCAUAUCUGGAACAUCACCCACAUCACGAGGACACCGAAAUUAAUUUGGGUAACCCACCAGUUCUUGAUUAAGUCUUUAAUGAUUUAUUUUAUUUUAAUUUUUUUGUUUUACAUUCUUUUACUGUUUCAUUGUUUGAUUUUUUUUCUUUUUCUCUCGAUUGAUGCACUGUACAUAGUUUUUGUUUAACAUUAUUUUUCUUGUGUAAGCGUGUUUGUUUGACAGUUGUACAUUCUCUCAUCAAUUUUCAUUUUACAUCAUGAGCACCUCAAUGAGAAAAUUCUUGUUUGCACAUCUUAAAAGAUUUCUGCAUAUAAAAUUUCACUUAAGAGGCCUGAUACAAAGCUGUAAAUCACAUCCACUUUGGGAUCUGCAACCACCAGAAUUCGUGUCCUAUGUUGAGGAUCUAGAGGGACAACUUAGAACAUUAGAGAGUGGCAUAUAUGAAUUUUAAAUGGAGCUUGGGUUAACUCAAUGAGAGGACGAAUGUAAGUUCAUUUUCCUUUUAUAUUGUGUGCUUCUUUUUGCUCGCUUUCACGCUUGAUUUGAUUUUACAAAUUUGAUUUUGGUGUGUUUUGAUUUAUUUUCCCGUAUAAAUGGCGGAUAACGGUACUCUGUGACUUCUUAAGUCGGUAUCUUCAGUUUCCCACAAUAACUGAAACCCCAAAAUCAAACAUAGAAGAAAUACAACAUAAACUCCAUAAGCAUUUUCCCUCUCUCCCUCAGAAUGCCCUCAGGAAAAUUUACAAAGCUCGUUGUGAACGACUGCGUUUGUUAAUGAUCAAUGGCAUUCCUUCUGACAUUCGUUGGUUAAUUGAAGCAAAGGUCCAAUUAGCAGGUGAGUUUUCUGGUCCAUUUGUUUCUUACAUGGCUGGUUUUGGUAAAAGUACGUUUGCUAAGAAAAGGAGAGCUAAACGACUUGGCUCAAAAUGUCAUAACUGUGUAAGACUUGGUUGCAAACGACCAGAUUGUAAAUCUUUAGGAAUGGUUUCUGAUACUCGUGAAGAUAAAAUUAAAUUCGUUAAAAAUGGCAUGUGUAAAGAAUCGUUGGAUGAUAUCUUACGAUCUCUUGAGACGCAUCGAAGCAGAUUUGUGUAACGUGAGAUUUAUAAUUUGUGGAUACUAUUCUAAAAAUAAAGUGCACAGUUUAGUCUUGGGAAUCUGACUCAAAAAGACCAUGUUUGCCAGUUUAUAAGAAAACUGGAUGGGAAGCCGAUCCUUGACCCAUAGAGGGCGUUCAAGCCGUUACUGGACGUAAAACCAGAGAAAGAUGUGAGCCACAAUCACAACUACCAGUAAAUAUCCUUUCACUUCACUGUUAUUUUACUUUACUGUUAUUUUAUCAUUUGCAUUAUUGCAUUUAGUGAUGUGAUUUUGUAUUUAAUAAAUAUUUGGUUUCUUUUACUGUUUACUUUUUCUAAUUAUUAUUUUCUUUUCACCGUUUGUUUUUGAAUUAUUGAGCCACGAGCUUUACUCGUCAUUUGACAAAUAUGCCAACCCAUUUACAGCUAUUUCUUAUUAUUUAUAUCACCAAGAUCUUUAAAUAUGAGCUCAUUUUUCAAACACUCAUAACUUGUUUUUGAAAAAUUUGUCCAAUGGCAGCAUCUUCGAGUAAACAAUUCAAAAAUAUUUGUGUGCUUUCUGGGUUUCAUUAUGGAAAGUACAAAGAGUUUGUUCAGGCAACUGUAGAUCUUGGUCGUGUCAUAGCAGAGAGGAAACUGCAUAUUGUAUAUGGAGGAGGUGAACGAGGGUUAUCAAGACUUGUCUCAGAAGCUGUUUUUACCAGAGGAAGCCAAGUACUCGGCAUUAUCCCAAAACCCAUGAAACCGCUAGUGUGCAUGUCUGGUCUACCAAUUGGAGAAGAAUUAGUGGUAUCAAGUAUGCAAGAGAGAAUAUCUGAAAUGAUGAAUCAUGCUGAUACUUUUAUUUUCUUGCCAGGAGAUCUUGCAACUUUUGAGGCACUGAUUACAUUUGCAUCUUGGGCCCACUUGAACAUUCAUCAAAAACCCAUCGGUUUGUUAAAUGUUACUAAUUUUUAUGAUGGCUUGCUAACUUUUAUUAACCAUGCAAUAAAGAAUCAUUUUGUUCCACAUUCUUUGAAAAAACUCUUUAUCUCUGCUUCUACUGCUAAUGAGUUACUUGAUCUUUUACAAGCUUAUACACCAGAGCCAGAUCCAAAGACUUUUGCACUGAAUUGGUCGACUGAUGAUGGUAGCAGUAACAGUAGCAGUAAUAAGAAGUGCGAUUUAGAUUUAACUCUCCGUCUGUAAAUAUUUUCUGUUGUAGUGUUCAUGUGUUGUCUUCUAAACUCUUUCUCUUUCCUUUUAAAACAUUAAGGACAAUGUCUUUUUCAGGUUGGGGGGAGAGAAUAGUUGAUAAUUGUGGAAUGUCUUAGUCCUGGUGAUGUGUUUACAAAAAUAAAAAUAAAAAUUUUUUUUUCUGUAAAGACUAACUUAGGACAAAUUUGAGUCGAAGAUGGCAGGAUAUAGAGAAUGUAGUACCUCUAGAAACGCAUCUUCUUAAUCUUAAGGGUGUUAUUAAAAAAAAAAUUGAAUUUCUCUUCAUCUUUGUUAUCUGCUUGUAAGCUUCUGCAUCAAGUUCAGGUGAGAUCUCCUCUUCUUCUUCUUUUAUUAUUCUCUUUUAUUUUUAUUUUUUUUGCAUAUUUGUAAAAUUAUAAAAUGUUAAGAUAAUGUUUAGAUUAGGUUGUGGGGUGGGGAUAAUUGACGAAUGUUUUAAAUAUGUGGGGUGUGUUGUUUUUCACUUUUCUCUUUUCUUUUCUUUGUUGAAAAAAAAACAAAAAAAAAACAUUUUUAUUUUGUCUAGGAUGGCCGUGUAAAGAGUCACGACUUUUGAGACGCAUCCUAAUAGUCUUGUUGUAUUAUAUUUUGAUUUUGAGAUUCAUAGUAAAUUAUUUUUGUUCCCUUUUCUUUGAAUUACUCGAAUUUGUGAACUCUCCAAUUGGUUAUUAAGUUAUUUAAUUGUUUACUCAUUUAACAGGUAUUAUUGAAUCAUUCUUGAUGCAGCGGAAGUUUAAUGUUCAAAAUAUUCCGUUGAUUCUAGAGAAUACCAGAAUAAAAGAACAGCUAAAUUCACGUUGAUUCAAAAGAAUACCGCGAACUUAGGGAUUUAAGACUCAUUGAUUCCGCAGAAUACCGAGAAUUAACUGUUCAAAUACUCACAAAGAGAUUUGAAAAUUGAAAUAUUAUUGAACUCAAAAUUCUGCCUCUAUAGGCUACAAGAGGGAGCUAUUUAUAGUAGUAGUAAUUAUCCUAAUUUAUGAAGUAAAAACAAAAUCCUAAAUUGAAAGAGAAACAAAAUUCUAAAUUAGAAAGGAAUUUAAAAGUCUUAAACUUUAGUUAAUAAGGAAACUAAUCCUCGUAUAAUAUAGAUUCCUACUCUUCAUCAAUUCUUUACACACACACACUAUGACACAUACUAGUGGGUUGUAAGUUAAAAUUUUACAGCAUUUAGUUCUUUUGAUUUAUUAGGAAUAGUAUCUAAGGUAGUAGAAAGUGUAUAUUUCCAAAAAAAAAAAAAGUAGAAAAAAAUUGUUUUUAAUUUUUCCAUGUCUAGAACCCGAGUAAUUAAGUCCAUAGGGGUGCUUCAACACCUAGUGUCCUAAAGUCAACUGGUCUAGGAGUCACUGACCUAAAGCUCACUACAUGGGUAAUAGAUAUAUUGUUUGUUUAUUAGAAACCCGAGUAAUUAAGUCCGUAGGGGUGCUUCAACACGUAGUGCCAUAAGGCCAACUGGUCUGGGAGUCACUGACCUAAAGCUCGCUACACGGGUUAGAAAUGUAAUAUUUUAAAAAUAUGUGUGAAUAAUAUAUUGCUUAAAGAUAUAAUUUCUAAUGAAUUUUGGAACGAAAAUGUUGUUUUUCUUUUAAUGAAGCCUCAUAAGUAUUGUGUUAAUUACUUGAGCACAAAAGAAGGUUUAAUGAUAUUUUAGAUAAUGAGUGAACAUCAAUGUGGUAAAGAAAUCUGGGAGAGUUCAUUUAUUUAGUAAUUUGAAGGAUGGAUGAACAACUAUUAACUUGCAUGUGAAUUUUAUAAAUCUUAAUUUAAUAUAACGCUUUAAUUGCUAGAGGGCUAGCAAUAAGCUGGUUGGGGGGGUGUGAUUAGUAUUAAAAAUUGUUUAAUUAUCAAGCAAUAAUAUGUUAUUUUAUGCUUAUGUUAUAAUUUAUAUUUGUGUUUAUGUAAUAUAUUAUGAAUUAUUAAUUAUGUUUUCAAUAUAUUUAAUUGUGUAUUUUUAUAUGUUAUUAGGAAAAAUAUUAAUUUCACGUACUUCGAGACUCCAAACAGAUAAACGGAGGUCAAAUUUAGAUUUUAGAGGUCCGAAAACUUUAAGAUCAGUCAAGAUCGGCUUAAAAUUGGGCUUGUGUAAAAAAAAUUAACUUUUCCUGUUGACCGAGCACUGAUUGGAUGAUGAAAUGAGCUUACAAUAGAUAUGAGUGCAUGGGAUAGCCGGCAAUCUUGACUAAAUCUCAACUGUUCAUGAUUCAAUGGCCAUGAUUGUGCCAUGUGGCAAUGGUUGGUGAAGCAAGUUGGAGGAUCCGAAUCUUUAUAUUCGGGUCGACCCGAUCCACCCAUUAACCCGCCAAAUCUGAACCGUUCUUUGGGCAAAUCGGACGAGUCAAACGAUGCCAUGUGUGAUGUUGACUUUUGAAGUUUGACCAGCCAUUGGAUCUUGAUCUAAGGGUUGUGAGGAGCACAUGCAUGAAACCUACGAUGGACCGCAAAGCACUGGAUUAUGAAUUUAUUUUUCUAUAAAUAGAGCCUCAUUUUUAUGUUUUAAUCAUCUCUCUACAACUCUCUUCUUCUCAAAUUUUCUCCAUCUCCUUGUAAUCUUGAUUUCCAUGUGUGUUUUUAAUAUUUUGUAUAAUUAUUUUUAUAAAUAAAAUUAGUUUUAUUUCCAAUUUUAGUUGUUUUUAUUUCUUUUAAUUAUAAGUAAUUCAAUUUUACUACUUCUUUUUAUUUUAAUUAUGCUUAACUAAAUAAUAUUAGUUAGGGGAAGGUGAAACUCUUAGGAAAUAAAUAUGAUUUAAGCAAAUUCUAUUCUUAAUUUUAUAAAUUAAAUUAUUUUCUAUUUAAUUUUAUACAUAUUUUAUAUUUUGAAAUUUUGAUUUAUUGUAGACAAACAAAUGAAUUUGGCACAAUAAAUUCUUAAUAUCUUAAUAUAAGGUAUGGUAAAAUGGUAUUUUGACUUAUUGUAGACAAAUUAAAUUUUCGCACAAUAAAUACUUAAUCCAUCAUAAAAUUAAAGGGAAAAUAAUAAUAAUUUAUAUAAUUAAUCUUUUGGGCAAUAAUGUAAAAAAAAGAAGGGCAAAAAGAAUUUAUUAAGUUUUAUUUACUUCUAAGAGUGGAUCCAUAACCCUAACUAGUUCAAUUUCAUAGUUUCAUUUAAAUUAAGUUUUUUAUAUUUAAGUUUUAAUUUCAAUUUUUAGUUAAAAUAAAGUAAACUAAUUAAAUCUUUUCUCUGUGGAUCGACCUCGGACUCACCGAGUUAUAAUACAACAAGACACUCUUAUACUUGGGAGUUAAAAAUUACUUUUAAGUUGUGUCACGCAGUAAGAAGUACAAAUUAGAUUUAACUCUCCGCCUGUAAAUAUUUUCUUCUGUGUUACACCACCCAGGUGAUGUCCUCUAAACUCUACUUCUUUCCUUUCAAACAUUGACGACAAUGUUUCGUUCUGGUUGGGGGGAGGGAAUAGUCGACAAUUAGGGAAUCUUGGUUAAGUUUUUACUAAUUUUUUGUUGUAGAAACUAAUUGUUGCUAACUUUUUGUGUUGAAGAUGGCUGAAUAUGGAGUGUAGUGACUCUAGAAACGCAUCUUCAUCAUUUGAAAAAAACAAAACAAAAAAAAUUCAAAAAAAAUAAAAAAAAUUCAGACAUUUUCUUUUUCUUUAGUAAGUUUUGAUAUUCAUUUUUCUUGUUCUUUAAUUUCUCCUUUAUAAAUAUACAUUUUUAAAUAUUUGAGUUGAAGAUAGAUGAAUAUGAAGUGUAGUGCCUCUAAAAACGCAUCUUCUUAGUAAAAAAAAAAAAAAAACCAUUUUCUUUUUCUAUCAUUUUAAGUGUAACUUUUCUGAUUAGUUUUUCUACUUCAUUUUCACAUUUCUGCAUGCAUAUUUUCCUUUUAUGUUUAGAAUAGGUUGGGGGGUAGAAUAUUCUUUAAAAAAAAUUGUGUGAUUUGUUUUAACAUUGAAUGACAUGAUUAAUUUCAAAUUUUAGUAUUUAUUUUAUCUUUGGUCUUAAGUGAUGUUACACUAUGUUUGCUACUCUACAUGUUGAUGUCGGAGACAAAUAUGAGUUGCUUGAAAGAAUGAACAUGUCAUAAUAAGUACCAAGUGAGUUUUUAAGCCUAUUAUUUUUCUUGGAGAGUAACCCUUUUGCCCAUUCUUUAUACAGCUUAACAGUUUAUUAUUGUAUACACGAUCUCUAGAUUUCUUUUGAGUUAACCCUUAAAAAAAAUUGUAAAAUUAAAAAAAAAAAGAAAAAAAUGUGUGUUGCUACAUUUGAAUGCCCAUCUAACUAGUAGAUAUGGAAGGUUAUUUAGAGCCCUAAAAGACGAUGGAAAGGCCAUCUUUGAUCCGUUUGAGCCUUUCUAGCCAUCCAUUUUAUCAAAUAUCCAUAGUCAACCCUUUUGAGCCUUAAAAAAAAAAAAAAAUUUCUUUGUCAAACUUAUCAUCUUGACCCACUCCGAUUUGGAGUAUUACCCAAUAUCUUACAAGUUCCAUCACCUAUUUAUAUUUGAGAAAAAUGUAAAUAAAUAAUUUGUACAGUGAAGUUAUGCUAAAAAAAAAAAUUGUUAGUUCAAAAAAAAGAAGAAAAAAAUAACAAUAAUAGGUGAAAUCCACCUUGCAACUUCUGAAAAAAAAAAUUCCUCUGCAUUUUUCUCAAACAUACACUUUAUUUUCCUUAUUUCUCUUCUUUGUUAACCAUGUCCCUAGCCUACGUUACGUCAUAAUAAAAGUUCUUCUUGAUUUUACGGAAUUAUAGUCUGAAGUAGAAGCUAGUUAUAUGGGCUAAAAAGAUGUAGUGGUGUAUAAAAAAAUAAUAAUAAUAAAUAAAUUGGGCUGACUAGCAUUUUUAUUUGACUUGAGAUCGUAUUAUUUCUAAGCUGAGGGCAUAUUUCUUUCAUCUUGGUGAGAGCACGUGAUAUCAUUUCUUUAUUAUUUUCUCUCAAUUACCAUUCAUUGCAGUUACUAUUUUUAUUGGGUAUAAUUUCUUUGUGAGAGUGUCACUAUAUCCAGUGAGAUUUUGGGAUUUAACAUGUCAUUCUUGAAAGUAGCUGUGACAAAGUCUACUGGUCUGAUUCAUGUGGAUGGUUGAUGUGGGUGUGAUGUUUCUUUAGAUUGGAGAUAAUGCUUAUACUUUUAUUUGAUUACUAUCAUUAGUCUAAUUGAAUAAACAUGAGUGUUAAAAAAAAAUAUUAUUUUGGAUUUAAAUUUUGUUUUCGCUUUAUUUGCUAAGGACUAGCAAUAAGUUGGUUGGGAGGUGUGUUGAGUGUUAGAAAAUGUAUAUUUGUAAAGGAGAAAAUCGUCAUUUUACACUUUAAAUUUUACUAACACCCUUACUUUUAUGUAUUUAACUUUCUUUUGAUUUAAUUCCGUGUGUUUUAUUUUAAUUAAGUAUUUUAUGUAUUUUAGGGGCAUCAUAGUCAUUUCACAAUGAACGAGAGAUCAGACUGCAAAACGAACAUCAAUUUUGAACUCAGGACGGUCGAAAACCUUAGGAGGAGCAUAAAAGGAAAAAUAGUACUGUUCACAUGUACGGUACUAUUCACAUAUACGAUACUGUCUACGUUACUGUUCAUGACACUGUUCAUAUAGACGGAUCGAUGAUGUGGCAUUGACCGAUGAUGUGGCAUUGACUGAUGAGGUGUCACGAUCCUGUUGGACUAAAAUUCUUAUGUACUGUUGAUCGAUGACGUGGCAGCAUAUUAGUGGACCAGAAAUCUCGCGUACGGUACAUGCAUUACACAGGAUUAUUUUCAACCAAACCGCGUUACUGCUUAAGCCGGGUCAAACCGUGUUACUGUUCACCCACGUGGUCAAACCGCGUACUGUUGACUGGUAACGUGGCGCAAUCCUGAGCGUCCAAACUGUUUUUAAUCCGAUGGCCAUGAUUUACUCCAUGUAUCUAUAAAAAGGGGGCCUCCCCCCUAAUUUGAUAUCUCUGAAUCCAUUUUUGGAAUUCAUUUUCUGCAAUUCCUUCUCCAUCUUGUAUUUUCUACGUAUUUUAAUAAAUUUUCAUUUUGCCCCUAUUUCAAUUAUGAGUAGCUAAUUUUCUUUCAAGUUUAGGUUGAAGGUGAAGUCUCAACAUGUGUCAUUGGCUAAUUUGGUAAAUUUAUUUUCUUCUCUCCUCUAAUUUUUGUUGAAAAUUUGACUUUUCGUCGACAAAUAAUAAUAAUCUUGCCUAGAUACCGCCUUGGUUUUACUGGCUCCCUAGUACAAGGUUAUUAUUAUUUGGCACGAUAAGCCCUUAACACCAUAUUGAUUAGAGUGUGGUUUAUGAGGUGUGGAUUCCCCCCUCAUGAUUUAAUUGAUAUUAAUAAAGAAUAUUUAGCCCAUGACGCAUGUUGAUACGGAUCCAGAUACCCAAGUACGCCAUUUCAAUAGAUUUCUCUUCAAUUUAUUCUUGCCAUUUCAAUUCCAAUUUUAGUAUAAUCCAAGUCAUUUUCACCAUAAAUCCAACCACCCAUUUAGAAAAUUAAUUCUACACACAAUUAAAAUCCACCUCCUCGUGGGAUCGACACUCGUCACUAUUAAUCUACACUACAAUAUAUUUGUGCACUGAGUUCAAUAAAAUUUGCACAACAAGAAGUUUUGGGAAAGAAAGACCUAUUUUCAAAAAAUGUAACAUCCAUUGUGACGAAGAAUUUUUUAAACAAUGGAUCAUAACAUUUGUAGCCUUUUUGAGUAGGAGAAUAGCCAAGAAAUACACAUUUUAAAGCCCUAGGAUCAAGUUUGCUCCUGUUCUGUUUAUGAACGUGAACAAAAGCAAUGCACCCAAAAAUCUUUGGUGGUAAAGAUGUGAAAACCUUAGCGAAGGGAUAGAAUUUUGUGAAAACAUUUAAUGGAGACUGAAAAUUAAAGAUUCGGGUAGGCAUACGAUUUAUCAAGUAUGAUGCUGUGAGAAUGGCUUUACCCCAAAACUGUUUUGGCACUUUAUUUGUGAACAUAAGAGAGCGUGCAACUUCUAAUAGGUGUCGAUUUUUCCGUUCAGCAACACCAUUUUGCUGAGGAGUAUCUACACAAGAGAAUUGGUGCACAAUACCAUUUUCCAUGAAAUAAUGACCAAGGGCAGUAGCAAAAUACUCUCUCCCAUUAUCAAUUCUAAAGACUUGAAUUUUUGCUUGAAAUUGUGUUUGAAUCAUGGUAUGAAAGGUUUUAAAAACUGUUGCAGUUUCUGAUUUUUCUUUAAGCAAGUACACCCAACAAACACGAGUGAGGUCAUCAAUAAAAGUUAUGAACCAUUUAGCCCCCGAAAUGUUUGUAACACGAGAGGGUCCCCAAAUAUCAUUGUGUAUAAGAGAAAAAGGUGCAGAUUUUUUAUACGGCUGUGAAGGAAAAGAUGCACGAUGAUUUUUGGACAAUACACAAAUUUCACACUGAAACAAAGAAAGAUUUUUAUUCUUGAACAGUAAAGGAAACAAAUGUUGUAAAUAAGAAAAACUAGGAUGACCUAAUCGGAGAUGCCACAACAUUAUUUCAUCUUCAAUAGAGAAAGUUAGUUCAUUAUUUGCUGACUGAGCUUCUCCACACAAACUAACAUCCUCCUCGAAGUAGUACAAACCAUCUACCUCUCUAGCACUGCCAAUCUUCUUCCCCGAACACAGGUCCUGAAAUUCACAAUAGGAACGAGAAAAUUUAGCAAUGCAAUGAAGAUCCUUGGUAAUUUUGCUAACAGAUAAAAGGUUACAAGACAAAUUAGGAACAUGAAGAACAGAUGUUAACACCAAAUUUGUGGAGAUAGGAAUAGAUCCUUUUCCUGCUACGGAAGAUAGUGAACUGUUGAAUGUUAGAAAAUGUAUAUUUAUAAAGGAGAAAAUCGUCAUUUUACAUUUCAAGUCUUACUAACAACCCUUACUUUUAUGUAUUUAAGCUUCUUGUAAUUUAAUUAUGUGUGUUUGAUUUUAAUUAAGUAUUUUAUGUAUUUUAGGGGCAUCAUAGUCAUUUCACAAUAAACGAGGGAUCAAACGGUAAAACAGACAUGACUUUUGAACUCAAGACGGUCGAAAACCUUAGGAGGAGCAUAAAAGAAAAAAUGGUACUGUUCACAUGUGCGGUACUGUCUACCUUACUGUUCACAUAGACGGAUCGAUGACGUGGCAUUGACUGAUGAGGUGUCAUGAUCAUGUUGGACUAAAAUUCUUAUGUACUAUUGAUGGUGACGUGGCAGCAUAUUAGUGGACCAAAAAACGCACGUACGGUACAUGCAACAUAUGGGAUUAUUUUCAACCAAACCGCGUGGUCCAACUGUGUUACUGUUCAAACCGCGUGGUCAAACCGCAUACUGUUCACGCGUACUAUUGACGCGUACUGUUGACUGAUGACGUGGCACAAUCUUGAGUGUCCAAACUGUUUUUAAUCCGAUGGCCAUGAUUUACUCAAUGUAUCUAUCAAAAGGGGACCUCUCCCCCCUAAUUUGAUGCCUCUGAAUCCAUUUUUUGACUCUGUUUUCUAUAAUUCCUUCUCUAUCUUGUAUUUUCUAUGUAUUUUAAUAAAUUUCCAUUUUACCCCUAGUUCAAUUAUGAGUGACUAAUUUUCUUUCAAGCUUGGGUUGAAGGUGAAGUCUCAACAUGUGUCAUGGGCUUUAUUUGGUAAAUUUAUUUUCUCUUCCCCUCUAGUUUUUGUGGAUGAUUUGACUUCUCGUCGACAAAUAAUAAUAGUCUUGUCUAGAUACUGCCCUGGUUUCACCGGCACCCUAGUACAAGGUUAUUAUUAUUUGGCACGAUAAGCCCUUAGCACCAUAUUGAUUAGAGUGUGGUUCAUGAGGUGUGGAUUCCCGCACUCAUGAUUUAAUUGGCAUUAGUAAGGAUUAUUUAGCCCAUAACGCAUGUUGAUACAAAUGCAAAUACCCAAGUACGUCAUUUCAAUAGAUUUCUCUUCAAUUUAUUCUCGUCAUUGCAAUUCCAAUUUUAGAAUUUAUUAUCGCCAUUUCAAUUCCAAUUUUAGGAUAAUUUAAAUCACUUCCACUACAAUUACAACCACCCAUUUACAAAAUUAAUUCUACACAUAAUUAAAAUCCACCUCCUCGUGGGAUCGACACUCGUCACCAUUAGUCUAUUCUACAAUAGAUUCGUGCACUUGCGAUUCAAUAAAAUUUGCACAACAUGAACCAUCAGCAAUUUUAAUUUUUUGACUACCAGAACAUGGAAUAUAUGAAGAAAAUAAUUUAGAAUGGCUGGUCAUAUGAUCGGUUGCUCCUGAAUCGAUGAUCCAUGGAUCUUGUUUCUCAUAAACAACUCCUAAAGCAGUGAAAUUAUUACCUUUCUGGGCUAAAGAACUAAAGGACGAAGGAUUUGGGAGAGAUUGUGACUGAUUUAGAAACCUGUACAGUUGCUCUAACUGCUCUUUAGUGAAGAGUUGAGAUUUGGUUUCUCCAGUAUUGGUUGUCGGCCGAUUCUCCCCAACAACUUGGAAACCACGACUAUGUUUACCAGAGAAUUUAUUGUUUUUCAGAUUUGGAGGUUUUCCAUGAAACUUCCAACAUGCAUCUCUAGUAUGUCUUGGCUUAUGGCAAUAAUCACACCAAACUCUGUCCUUCUCAUCACUCUUCUUCAAGUUUUUUGUUCCACCAACCAGUGGAGCUUCUGGUGUAACAGAGAUCAAGGUUGAGUUCUCUGCUGAAGAACCUCCCAUCAUCACAUUCUUUCUACUUUCCUCUCUUCUUACAUAAGAAAACACUUCCCUGGUAGAAGGAAGAGGUUCCUUUCCAAGUACUCGCCCACGGACUUCAUCAAGGUCUAAACUCAAACCUGCUAAGAAUUCAAAUACACGCUCUUUUUAUAACAUCUUCUUGUAUUUAGCACUAUCAGCAGCACAUUCCCACUCGCCAUCAUAGUAUUGAUCUAACUCUUGCCAUAAGCCCUUCAAAAUAUUGUAGUAUUUAGUCACUCCUUGACUACCUUGUUUGGUUUCUCACAUUCUGGUUUUUAGAUCAUAAAUCUUAGCAGAAUUUCCCAAAUCAGAAUAGGUCUCGGUGACAGCAUCCCACAAAUCUUUUGCUGUUGGCAGAAACAAGUAAGUUUGACCUAUUUCUUGUUCCAUUGAAUUCACUAACCAUGACAUGAUCAUUGAGUUAUCAGCAUCCCAAGUUUGAAACUUUGGGUCGUCUUCAGUUGGUUCUUUAAUUGAACCAGUAAGGUAACCAAUCUUCCCUUUACCUCUGAUAAACAUCUUCACAGAUUGGGACCACUGAAGAAAAUUUUGACCAUUCAAUUUAUGGGUUGUGAUAUGAAGUGAUGGACUAUCAUUAGAAACAUAACUUGAUGGUCGUAGAUGCCAUUGCAACUGCUCUGAAGAUAACUCAGAAGUUUCUUGGUCGCUAUACUUUGACUUUGGUAUUCAAAUAGAAUUGAAAACUAAACCCAAGAAUCAAAGAGCGGCUAUGAUACCAUGAGAAAAUUAUUGAAGAAAUAUGUAUCUCAUUUUCUCUUCUUUUACAAUAGGAUUACAUGAUAAACAUAUAAAUUCUAAACUACAUAACGUGCAAGAGUAGGAAAGUAAACAACUAACUGUAGACUAAGAAACUAAGAAGCAAACUCUAUCAAAAAAUUGAAAUUCUAUCCCUAUCUUUUUUUCCUUAAAAAUAGGAUAGAAAACAUGUGACUUUUCCACAGCAACUAAACAUACAAACCUUGAAAUCCAAAAUUGUACUCGAUGAAUGUGCAAUUGCUCGAGCAGGUAAAUUUACUGCAAAGGCUCUUACAAACCCUCAAAGAUGAUACUCUGCAUACCAUGGUAACCUGAAUAACAAAAAGAAACACAGUGAAUAUUAAAGGGCAAUCUGACAAUGCAAAUUUGUGCAAAUUAACAACUGUGGUUACCUGCAUAAUAGUCUUAAUUCCGAAUUCCUUCCUCCAUGGAAGCAUAUGAUCAGCCCACAUGUGCUUUGCUCUGUAGCUUUUGAGUACCUGAAAUUGUUAUUACAACCAACGGUGAAAAUUGGGUGAAAAAAUGGUAAUAUUAGCAUAAUUGAAUUUGCUUAUAGAGGAUAAACCGAUCAAAGAAAAAAACAAGAUAGAAAUGAUUAUCUUAGUACCUUAAUAUCAUGCAAUAAAAAUCAUCAUGCCAUCCAGGCAGCUAUCCAUCCUCAAUUGAAACAGAGCAGACCUGGCCAUCACUUUCUUCUUCAAAGUCCAGCAACUGAACGUUGCACACAACACCACAGUGGAAGUAGUUACAUCACCAGCCUAAUCCUUGAUUACCCCAAUGUUCUCCAUAGGGUCUUCAAAGUCAACCUAAAAAUAAAAUGAAAAUGCAAUGCAUUAUUAUUAGGGAUCUAGUGCUUGAGCUUGCUUUGACAUCAUGGUAUUAGCAAAUUCUGAUAUUGCCAAAAUGGUAAACAAGAUGAUGUACUUGAUAAGAAAAACCUGAUUUAACAAAUAAUUAAGAAGCAGGUACCAAUCACAUAAUCUCAUCAUGUGGGGAAUGCCUUGGCAACAGAAGAUGGUGCUUUCAUUCAAGCAAUAGCAACUUUCCAAUUUCACAAGGUAGUUUAAUGGCCCUUUUAAGAACAUCUGUACCAGCCUAACAAUUAUUCAUGGAAAUUAAAAUUCAGAAUCAUAUUAGAUUAAGAGAUGAAAUAUAAUAAGCGAUUUGGCCACCAUAUAUGCAUUUAUCACCUUCAAUUCGCUCAUCUUUGUCUAGAGUAUUGCUUCUGCAUUAACUUAAUUAGCUUCCAAGCCACCUACAAAUGGUUUUAAAUAAUGUGUGAAAGUGUGAAUUCGAACGAAUUAAUCAAAUAUGCUGACAGGAGAAACAAAAGUAAAUAACCACAAGAAGUAGAAAUAUACUUUUGUUAUAUUCAGAGCAUCUUCUUGCGUCAAGUUCUUUUCCUUUAGCUCUGUUUCUGUUUGUGCUCAAACGCAAUGGCUCAAGGGUCCAGAUAAUUUUAUGACCGUCAAUCUUUUUGCAGCCACAGCAAACUUGAAAAAAUGAUCGUGGCCCUAAGGAACUUGAAAAUUAGAAAAGAUUCAGACUGAGUGACUAAAUAUUAUAAUCGAAACUAACUAAAUAUUAUAAUCGAAACUAAUUAAACGCCUAGAAAAUUUGAAACUGAGCAAUUGCUUCUGGUGGAAACUUUACUGCAAGGACUUUCUCAAACCCUUGAAGAUCACACUCUACCUGAUAACAAAGAAACAGUCAAUAUACGAAGCUGAUUUUACUAACAAGUGAGUGCUUACACAUAUUGGAAGGAUAAUGAUUACUCAUAACCCAAAUCCCCAAUACUCCCUAAUAUCUCACUCAAGUGAGUUCGAGCUCCCAGAAUUCACUACUGUGAAACUCUUACAACAAAAUUCCCUUCAAAGAUUCUCUACUCAAAUUUGAUGAUGAUGUCCCUCGAAAGGAGGCAAAAAAUCUAACACUGAUCAAAUUGGCUUGUGAACAAUUAAUCUUCCUGGCCAUCAUGCAUACCAGGUGUGGUGAGCAAUCUUCAUUCUGACAUUUGCCUUAAUAAGCGGCUUAGUAUCCUUAACCUGAUAACUUACACAAACAAAAACAACUUGAUUAAAGUUUAAUAUUUAGAGGCAGAACAGUAAAGAAGAUGAUAUAUAUUGAUACUAAAAUUUGACCUGCGUUAUCCUGUCGUCAAGAAUCACGGCAUCUCAUGUGGGCAGAAUCUUCGCAGUACAAAUGCUUGCAAAAUUGAAGCAACAACUUAUCACCUGUGAUUUAAUUCCAUGCAUAAUACGACCAAAAGUAAAACUUUUUGCCAGGGCUCUGUGUUUCUGUUUGUGCUAAAACCAAUGGAAACCGAUGGAAUGAAUUUCUAGGAAUUCGACAUAUCAGCCAAAACAGGUACUCUGUACAAGCAAAGUAAAAUAGGGUUACAAAAAAUUUUAAGAUUGAUAUGAUAAUUAAAAUUUCAGUCACCAUAUAAUUAAUAGAAAACUUUGGACACAAUGAUUUAUUGCAUAUUAAGAUUGCUAUACAAAAUAUAUUAUUAGCAUUAGGAGACCGCACCAAAGCAUACCGAAUUGAAUGUGCCUUUUUACAGCCAUUUUACAAGCUUUGAAGCUUUACCACAAAUGCUUUUUCCAACCCGUGAACAUGAUGCACCCGAAAGAUGCAAGCUAUGAAAUUGUUACUACAGCAAGCGUUGGAACAUUUGUUAACGAAGGAAGUUUAUGAAAAUACGCCUUUGGAUACCCGUCUUCAGGAAUCAAUUCAUCCGUAAUAACAAUUUUCAAGAAGUAUCAACUGCUUUAAGUUCAUCGACAUCACAGAGAUCUUCAACUAAAAUAGUGUAGAUCCGGCCAUCACUAUCCCUUCUACUGCUCUUUUCCUUUAGAGAAUGCUUGAAUUACAUAAUGCGUGUAAGGCAUUCUUAUUCAAGGUCCAAUGAUCAAACCUUGCACAAUAACAACUGAGGUAGUGGUUCCUUCGCCAGCCUAACCCUUGGUCUCAGGAAUGUCCUCAACAGGGUGCUCGAAAUCAACCUAAAAAUCAAGAAUGAGUUGGAAAACUGUUUAUGGCCCUAAAGAACUUGAAAAUCAGAAAAGAUUAAGAAUGAGUGACUAAACAUUUUAAUCGCAACUAAACAUACAAACCUUGAAAAUCUAACUUUGAAGUACUCUUGAAUGAAUGAGCAAUUGCACGAGCUGGUGACAACUAAGGUUACUGUGAAGUCUCUUACAAAUCCUUAAAGAUGAUACUUUACAUACCACGAUAACCUGAUAACACAUAGGAACACAAUGAACAUUAAAGUGUAUUCUGACAAUGCAAAUUUGUGGAAAUUAUCAGCUGUGGUUACCUGGACAAUAUUGCCAACACCAAGCUCUUUCCUCAAUUGAAACAUAUGAUCAGCCCACAAAUGCUUUGCUUUGUAGCUUUUGAGAGCCUGAAAUUGUUAUCACAACCAACAGUGAAAAUUGGGUGAAAAAAUUGAUAUUAGCAUAAUUCCGUAUGUUUAUAUAGGAUAAACCGAUCAAAGAAUAAAAAAAGAUAAAAACAGAGCAGACCCAGCCAUCACUUUCUUCUUCAAAGUCGCACAAUAACCACAAUGGUAGUCGUUCCACUGCUAGCCUAAUCCUUGGUCACCCCAAUGUUCACCAUGAAGUAUUCAAAGUCAACCUAAAAAUAAAUAAAAAUGCAAUGCAUGUGGAAAUGAAAAUUCUAUAAAUUAAAUAAAAUAAAAAUGCAAUGCUUGAGCUUGAGCUUGCUUUAGCAUCAUCGUAAUAGUAAAUUUUGAUAUAUCUUUACUUCUCUGUUCUUGUUUAUUCACAACAAGAUAUCAAUAGAAGAAGAUGGAAAUGAAAUUCUAUAAAAUAAAGCAAGUGAAUUACCAGCAGAACAUUUUAGCAAUCCUUUGGCUAAACUUUUCAUUUUCUUAGCAUACUCUCCUGCCUGCAUCAUUAAAACCAAAUUAGAUUGGACCUGUGAAUUGCUAGUGUGGUUCUGACAUUUCCUCGAGUCCCUGGUGAACAUAACUAAACUCGUAUGAAACAAUUACACAAUUACUUUAAAGAAUUAAUGUCACAUAAAUUAUAUAUAAAAAAAUACGAUUAUCAUUAUACAAGAUAAAAUUGAUAAUUUAGUUUUCAACAUUACUGCAAAUGUAUCACAGAGAUUUUUUCUCUCAGGAAGUUACACAUAACAACUUUUCGUACAUUAAAAAAUAAAUUACAUUGGGAUUUUCUAUUAUGUUGUAUCAAAUUUUAUAAAAGAGCACAAAUUUUUUAAAAGAAAAUAUAGAAAUUUCAACAUACUACGCUUGGUUUUUUUUUAAUUAUUUAAUCUUUAGAAAACAAGUUUAACAGAUUUGAUAACUAGGAAGUUUUACAUAUUUAUACCAUGAUUGAUUCUAUAUAGAAUUUUAAUUCAAAAUAUAAUUAUUUUUAUUAAUUUCAUUGUAAGCAACAACGAAGUAAAUCAGAGGAGGAGAAAUUACCAGCGAGUGAUAUCUUACGGCGACCACUUGAUGUGGGGAAUGUGGGAUAUCUUAUACCAGUCUUCUCCUUCCCCCUCUCUAUAACGGUUUUCCAGAAUGAGACAUCUCCAAAUUGUCAAUUCCUGCAGCGUCGUCGUCCGAAGAAGGUAAUCCGGCAGCACCUUUAAUUUGGGGCAAUCCCAAAUUCGCAAGGAAGAAAGACGUAGUAUGUCUGUUGUCCUGCGAUCUUCUAGAACGGGCAGUUCUUCUAGAAGAUAACAAGAAUAAAUACUCAGUUCCUGCAGUGUCGUCGAUUGAAGAAGGUAAUCCGGCAGCACUUUUAAUCUGGGGCAAUAAGAAAUCUCCAAGGAAGAAAGACGUGGCAUGAUGGAGAUGUUUUCCGUCCUCGUAAUCCUGUAAUUCCACUCUUCCACUUCAUCAAAUUCGCCAAUUUCGAGAGAUUUCAAUUUGGGGAAGGCAAUAACUGAUGAUGACGAUGAAGAUGAAGAUGGGUCGUCCUCACUGCUUUCUUUUAUUCCCAAAAACUCAUUACCUACUCUUUUUACACUUUCAAAGCCGCGUAGUUCGAGUUUUUCCAGAGGCAAUUUUCCCAAAGGAGGCAAAUGCUCACAGUUUACGCAGUAGAAAAGGCUUAAAUCCCUUAGAUUGGUUAGUGAAGUCAACCAUUUGGGAAAAAUGUUGCCUCCGUAGAAUAUAAUCCUUAACUCCUCUACAUUCAAAGGCGGUUGUAAGGCUUCAAGAAGUUGUUUAUCUUUCUCGUUCUUCCUCCUCCCUUCUUCGCCCUCCCCAUCUACGACUCCACCAAACUCAAGAUGCAAACGAAGGAGGUUUUUCUUAUUGUAAAGUUGUAACCUCUCAGCCUCAUCUACAUGCGAUACAUUACUCAGCCCUUCUACUCUACAUUCACGAAGGAGUUGAAGAUUUUUCAGAGAUUCAAGCCUACACGUAUUGCUACCAUCAACACCUCCACCCACCACAAACUUUUCUAAUGUUCGAAGGCUAGUCAAUUUGGAAAUCCCUAUUGGCAGGUACUUCAACGAACGAGUUUUAUCAUUCAGUAAACUCCUCAUGUUCAUUAACUUCCCAAUCCCUGCAGGCAAUUCUCUAAGAUAUUCGCACUGCCUAAUAUCUAGCUUUUGUAAAUUAUAUAAUUGACACAAAGUCUCAGGUAGUCUCUCUAACCUUAAUCCAGACAAAUUAAGAUAUUUUAAAUGUAUCAAUUUUCUAACUUUUUCUGGAAUUUCUAUAAUCAAAUUUGCCUCAGGAUGAAAACCUAAAAUGUGAUAUUGCCUCAUAACUAAUGCCCUCAAACACGCCAAUUUACUAAAUAACUCCGAAAGGAUGCUACUACUAAGAGGCCGACUGUAAGGACUUUCAUCAUAAAUUAAUAAGGUACGCAAUCUAUUAAGUCCAUGAAUGGACAUAGGAAAUGAAGUGCCUCUUUGAAAAUUUAACCCUAAGUGACGGACUUUGUCACCAAAAGAGUUUAUGACUGAUUCUUUGGUACCAUUAAUUUCUACCCACAAACAUUCUUUUCUACUUACAAAUUGGGCAAAAUCAUGUACUAUGUCAUGCAUCUUACACCCCAGAAUAUCAUCAUUGUCAUCAUCUUUUUCAAACUCUUGAAAGAAAGAGCGUGUUGCUAAGAUGUUGAAAUAUUCUUCUCCGAUCAUCUCCAUUUCUUCGUCUUCAUCUGCAUUAAGGUAACCUUGAGCCAUCCAUAGAUUAAUCAAUUCCCUUUUAUUCAUAUUGUAGUCUUUUGGAAAGACAGCACAAUAUGAGAAACACCGUUUUACCAUAGAAUUGGAGGGCAAAUCGUUAUAACUCAACAACAAAGGAGCCAAAAUACCUUGCCCAAUCUCUUCUACUUUCCACAUUUCACUCUCUAAAAUUCUUUGCCACUCUUUUAUUGUACUUUUAGAGCGCAAGAGAUUCCCUAUUACCUUUGCAGCAAGAGGUAGGCCUUUGCACUUACAUGCAAUUUUUCGCCCGAUUGGUUCUAAUUUUUCACAAUCCUCAAAGGACCUACGUAGAAAUGCUAUCUGCUUAAACAGUAACCAACAUUCCCCUUCACCCAACUCCUUGACAGGGAUAAUAUCUAUUGAUCCCAACUGCAGUGCAACUGACCUAUCACGUGUGGUAAUUAGAAUUUUACUUUCAUGGUGGCCAUUCUUUAGACAAGAAAAGAAUGGGUCCCAUUUUUUGUAAUCUCCAUCCCACACAUCAUCUAAAACAAGAAAAAAUUUCUUCCCCGUAAUAUAUUCCUGAAUCUGUUUCAUAAGAGAUUCGAAUUCGCUUAAACCAGAAGCUGACGCGCCUAGACUUUCAAUGAUUGCUUUGGCGACCCUAAUCUCCUCAAAAGUGUCUGAUACACACACCCAUAUAACUUUUUCAAAAUUUCUUUUCACCUCAUCAUUAUUAUAGGCCAGUUGUGCAAGAGUGGUUUUACCUAUACCCCCUAACCCAACUAGUGAGAUGACAUGAAGGCCUUUUUGUUGUUCACUACUUUCACACAACAACUUGCUUAAGAGCUCAUUUUUCUCAUCAACUCUACCGCAAACCUCUCCCUCAUCAAUCAAGGAGGUGGUUCGCACUCGCUCUGGUUUCUUAACAUUGCUGCUCACAUUCUCAACAAAUUUAAACGUAUCUUUUUGGGAGGCAAUAUCAUCUAGCUUUCCAUUGAUUUCCCUGAUCUUGACGGCAAUGUCAUGACGAAGACUAAGUUGUUUGAAACUACCAAAGCAGUUUGAUACAGCACAAAAGAAGGAGCGUACCUUCUUAUGAGGAGCAAGAGCAAAAGCAUUGUCAUCAUCAACGCCCUCAAUCUGCAAUUUGAGCCUUGCAGUGGUCCACUCCUCCAACACGUCUUCCAUGUCGUAAGAUGCGUCUUUGAGUUGAUCCAGCCAAAAAGUAACAGCAUUGUCGCGCUGCAUUUGCCUUUUCUCUGCAUCUUCCAGCACAGCUCGAAUGGCUCGAAGAUUGCUGGUAAGCUUUUUCACUUCUUCUCCGACACCAGUCACAAGCCUCACCUGUUGUUUCACUUCAUCAGCCGCAACGGAGAUCAGCUGCUCCAGGAGAGAGGAAACGAUCGCAUCAACCAUUCUGACAAAGAAAACGAGAAUUCUGAUGAGUUAUUAGAUGUGCUUUUGUUGCGAAGAUAUGAAAGAAAGGAGUUAUUGCAUUCUUUUAUACUGCAUAGAAAAGGUUUAUGCUUAUCCCCAACCCACACGUCAAUGAUUGUAGAAUGUUUAAUUUCCCUGAUUCUACUCCACUAGUUGUAAUAUUCUCAAGUUAUGUAUGAAAAUAGCACAAAUUUGGACCUACUGAUGAUUUUUAUGUAUUUUUUCAUAAUCUUCUAAAAUACUGUAUCUGCAUGUUAUUUCGUGCAGAAAUAUGGCAUUGGGUGAAAAAAGUUAUGCUUAUCCCCACCCACACGUUAGUAAUUGCAGUAGCAUCUUUAAUUUCCCUGAUUCUACUCCACGGACGAACACAUUUUUUGUACUAAUAUCUUUAAAUUCCCACACGUUAGGAAUUUGGCACAUAAUCUCAAACUCGUCCCAUCUUUAACGUAUGAGGUUGAUGAAUGAAUUCUUUUCUCAUGUGAAUUUAAAACUCCGAGAUUAUGUGCCAAAUUCCUAACGUGUGGGAAUUUUACCUCCUAAGUAAUCCGGCCCACUGCCAAGUGCCAACUUUUUCUCUGUCGAGUUAAUGAUGUUGUUUUGUUUUCCUUGUUUUAAUUAAUGUUGCGGUGAGAAAAAGAUCGAUGUAAAUGGCUAGCCAGGUUUUGCAGAAACCAUGAAUGGUCUUGCAUGCAUGGGUGGCUUUAAGUAUAGGCCAAAAAGAUGGUCGUCUAAGGCCCCAAAUUUUAAAAAAGCUACAAUUUUUUAAUAUUAAUAAUAAUUCUCUUAUUAAUAAAAUCUUUUAAAAAAAUUAUAUGUGUGGUAGAAAAGCCUAUUAGACAUAUCUCUAAUUAAUAAUUAUCCUAUAAUUAAUAUUUUUUUUAUAUAAAAACCUAUAAUUGGUUAUCUUAUUGUUAAAGAGAUAUAAUUAAUAAUAUUGUUUAACCAUUAAUUUAUUCAUUAUUAGUUUUUCUAAUAAAAAUAAGUAAAUUUUUUUAUCUUUUCAACUUCUUAAAAAAAAACUUAAUUAUUCAACAUUAGAAUAUUUGGCUUUGAGUAUUUCUUUUAAUUUCUACUAAAAAUCUUAUAAUCUAAAAAAUUAUAGAUGAAAAAUUUCUUAUUAUCUUCUCUACGAUGAAGAUUAUUACAUGCAUUAGUUCAUUCAAAAAAGAAAAAUAAAAAAUUAGUUACUUGAAAUACAAAGUCCAUAUCCAUUAUCUAAAAUCAGUUCAUAAUCUCAACUUUUUAUGUGCUACCAUUCUAAAUAUUCUAUUUGAAAAUAGUAUUGUUCUCAUUUAUUCGUUUGCUUCUUUUUGUAAAAUUUCUAAUGAUAAAUUUUAGAUUUUGUUUUCAAAAAUUUUUAGAAUCUUCUUGAUUAUUUGUUGAAAUUCAAGAAUAAAAACUGAAAUGGAUUUUCAGUUCUUUAUUGUUUUAUUGAAUAUUGAAAUUACUAAAUAAAAAGAGGUCUCAUAAAAAAAAAAAAAAAAAAAAGUUCGUCUAAGGCCCCUAAUACUAUAAGCCGGCCCUGCUUGCAUGUGACAUAAAGCUUUAUAGCUUAUUCCUCCAUCAACAUUUCAAUGGUUCCAUCUCACGUGCACUUGGCUAUGAAUAAGGUCCAUGCAUGGAUCGAUCGAUUUAGGAGUUUUGGACCAUCUCAUGCUGCAGAGUUAUGUGUCAUGUAUGUGUGUUGACACUUGCCAGUUCAUUUUUGUUAUAAAGAUUAUUGAUACUCAUAAAUGCACUACUUACAAAUCAUAAAUUUUGAGUUUGACACUUUAGUUUCAUUUUGUAAUCCCUACGCUCUUUAAAUAUUUGUAACAAUAUAUUUCAAACUUUAACUCAGACGUAAUGAAUGAAGGGGGAUCCUCUUCUUAUAUAAAUUUUUAUUUUUUAACGUUCAAGUUACAUUUGAUUACGUGUACUUAUUAUCUAGUUUUGACUAUCUAAUUACAUUUGAUUACGUGUACUUAUUAUAUAAAUUUUUUUAAAAAUGAUGGGUUUGGUGAGAUUUUUUACAUCUUGGAUCAGUAGGUCAAGAACAGGCAGGGCAGGGCCUUCUCUGAAGUCAAUCUUGUGAGCAACACCAGCUUUUUGGAUAAUUGGCAGCCCCAAUUCAUAAUUUUCUCUAUUGAUGUCCAUGGCCAAAAUCUGCAACCGAAGCUUAUUCUACUCUUAUUAAUCGAGAGAUAAUUUUACCUCUAAUUAAUUUAAUUGGGAGGAAAAUCGAGAGAGAUAUCCACUCUGUCCUUAUUAAUUGAGAGAUAAUUUUACCCUUACCCAAUUUAAUUGGAAAGGAAAUCGAAUUCCAACAAUAACUAGGACUUGAAUCCAUGCACUUAAGCUAACUUUAAGUUUUUGGACGCAUGGUUAUAAUGUUCUUUAUUUAAAUCCUAACAAAUGGUGGGACUUGAACUUGUGCCUACAAACAUUGAGUGCUUAGGGGCUGCAAAAUUUCAUAACUUAAUUUUAGUUGAUGUGGCAUAUGCCCUAUCACAUAAAUGUAGGUAAUAAUAAUUAAUACAUUAACAAAAUGAAAAAUAUUAGUUUACAAAACACAAAUCCAAAAUUUUUGUGUGACAGGGGAUUUAAAAGGGAGAGACUAAAUAAAUGUGGUGAAAAACGACAUGUAUUACUAAAAUUGAAAAUACGAAGUCUAGGCAAUUGAAAACAUCGGGUUUUUUAUUUAAAUAUCCCCAAUUUGUCCUUAAAUACCAAAUUUAUACUCUAUUAUAUACAUAUACCUUACGAAGAUAGGGAAGGUAAAAAAUAACCUUAAAAAAAUCAAGAAUCCACACAUUUCUUCCUCUCAGUGCAGGAAGAUGUCGAGUACGAAGUCGGGUAAGUCGAGAAUUUAGUUGAGCAAGAAUUGGAGAUAAGUAAGUCGAGUAUAUAAUCCAGUAGGAAAUUGAGUAAGCAUAUUAAAUGAGUCGAGUAUUAAGUGGUCGAGUAUUAAAUAAAAGUCAAGUGAAUUUUUUGAACAAGUCGAGUAAAAUUUAUGUAAUUUUUAAAAAGGUCAAGUAUUAAGUCGGGCAAGUACAUUGGGUCGAGUAUUAAUAUUUUUAAGGAAGUGAAGUCUAGUAAGUUGAGCAUUCAGUCGAGUGAGAAAUGAAGGCAAUUGAAUAAGUCGAGUAUCUAGUCGAGUACGAAGUCGGGUAUGAAGUAUGGUAAGUUGAGCAUUCAGUCGAGUGAGAAGUUAAGGCAAUUGAAUAAGUUGAGUAUCUAGUCGAGUACAAAGUCGGGUAUGAAGUUUGAUAAGUUGAGCAUUCAGUCGAGUGAGAAGUGAAGGCAAUUGAAUAAGUCGAGUAUCUAGUCGAGUACGAAGUCGGGUAUAAAGUAUGGUAAGUUGAGUAUUCAGUCGAGUGAGAAGUUAAGGCAAUUGAAUAAGUUGAGUAUCUAGUCGAGUACGAAGUCGGGUAUGAAGUUUGGUAAGUUGAGCAUUCAGUCGAAUAAGAAAUGAAGGUAAUUGAAUAAGUCGAGUAUCUAGUCGAGUACGAAGUCAAGUCUGAAGUCUGGUAAGUUAAGCAUUCAGUUGAGUAAGAAGUGAAAGCAAUUGAAUAAGUCUAGUAUCUAGUCGAGUAAGCAGAUUGAAUGAGUCGAGUAUUAAUUUUUUGUUGGCAUUUUGUUGAGGUUAUUUUUGUACUUUCUUCGGUUUUUUAAGUAUGUAUAUGUAAAGUUACAGAUUUUAAUAGAUUGAGAUAUAUUUUGGAUGGUACGAGAGAAACGGGGUAUAUCCCACGCAAUUCCUUCGAAAACAUAUCUGUCAAUUGCAAUGAAAAGAUCACAACCCUUCGUAAUUAAACAAAAUCAAACUUGAAAAAAAAAAAUCACACACACAAAACAAUCACAAAAACUAUUUGUUCUGAUCAUCCCUGCUUUUUUUUAGCGUAGCUCUUGGAAUGAAAAUUAACAAAAAGUGUCAAAAGAGAAGCAUUAAACACAGCAUUGAAGCACCAACCCAAAAUCCCAGAGCAACCAAAUCCCGUAAAAUGAUAAUACAGCAUCAAAACCGAAACAACAAAACUAAACACAAACUGAACAAUCUGACAAUCAGUGACCAAUCUCUUCCACUUUGGCCGCAACACCAUCACACACAAUAGAUAGUACCCGUACAUGAUCACAUGCACACUUGCAUUGGUCACAAGUGCAAUAGGAAACAAAGACUGCUUCGUCUGUAACCAAAGGUAGCACAUUACGACGACGGUUGCAUGGUGGUAGACGUGGAGGAACGUGAGCCGUUGGAUGGAGUUUGACAAAAUGAUCAAAAGGGUGUCUAGGAAUUCGAGUAUUUUGGAGAGGUAGAAGAUGUAAGCGUAGAAGAAGAGGGGACCGGAGGGAGAAAUGGUGGGGGGAAACAGAGGGUGUGACGGAGGUCGGGUGAAUGGAGGACGAUGGAGAGAGUGCAACCAACGGCCAUGACGAGGGAGAGGAGGAGGAGGGUAAGGUUAUGGACGGCUGUGAUGGGCUUGAGGAUGUGGGGUCCAAUGAGAGGUGAUGAUGAUGGUGAUGUUGGCGUUAAUUUGUGGUAGAGGAUGAAUGUGAGGGAGAGGAAAGUGAGGAUGGAGAGAAUGAGGAAGUGUGGGGAGGAAGCUGGGGUUUGGUUUUGAGUCCACGUGAAGUAGAGGAUUUGGGGAUGGUUUACAAGCCAAUAUUGGAGUGUUGAGGUGAUUGAAUUUGAAGCCAUGGCUGGUUUUUAGGGGGAGGAAAGAUUAGAAAGAGAUGAUGUUGAGAGGAGUGGGGGAGUUUAGAAAGUUUGGGAUAAUGUGAGGGGUAUUUUGGGCAUAUAAUGUUG
rnacentral:lncRNA from 1 species